UAAACCCCUUUAUGCAUUUAUACGGCUUAAUUUCCAUGAGGGGUAACUUCUGAUGGUGCUUGCCGAUAGAGAUGCAAGAAAAUAAGAAAGAAGAGAAUAGAGGAAAAUGUAUAGUUUGAUAUCGAGUUAUAAGGACUUACCAUUCUGUUAUUCCUGUAGCAAUUGUAGAAUAAAAUACCUUUUGUUUGUGAAGUGCUUUAACGGAUGUUAAUAUAUGGUGUAAUAUUUGUACUUCAGUGUCAGUUAAUUUCCUUCGUGUAUGGUUGACUUGACAAGGAAUCCAACGCGUGUUUUCUCAGGCUAGGCCUGUACCUGAUUGGGGAAAUUAAUCCCAUACACAUAUACUUCUCUGUUUUGUAGUUUCCGGUGAAAGCUCUGCAUUUUCUAGAUAGUUGAAUGUUUUCAGUUUUCUCGACUUUUCCCAUUCUUACAUAAUUACAUUUUCGGGAACAGAAUUGCACACUGAGAGCAGUAAAUUUGUGCGCGCAAAUGGUACUAUCAAGAUUAUGUACGUAGGUUAGCUGCUUGACUUUCAUUCCAACAUACAAAUUGUAGAAUUCUGCGGCGACAGCUUCACCUCUGCUCUUCUGGGCUUCCUCCACAUUACUUUACUCUUCAUCCCUCCAUCUGCUUUCCUGACACUUCUGGUGUCUCCUCCUCUGCUGUUCUCCAGCUCACUCUCCAUUAGACCAGAAGUGAGUAUCUGUUCUUGAUGGGCUGAAGUGAAUAUCAAAUGAAUGUAAUUUGCCUAAGCUCAAUCAACAGAAGUUAGAAGUCCCAAUAUCAUUGUCGGAUUUUUCAUUUAUUAGAGCAUCAACAUGGACGGUACCAAUAUCAUUGUCGUUCAGGUUUUUAUGCCAGGUAAAAAUGAGUUCUCCAACAGUCAAAGGGCUGGUCAACUGAAGUCUGAAGAUGCACUUGCCCGUCAUUUUCGUUCUUUUCCAUCUUAAAUCUCCUUCAUGAGCCACUGCUUCUUCGUCUUUUAGACUCACAUAUUUUGAUCUGAGUAGAUGGCUGAUGGACAAAAACUUUUGAAACAGGAUCAUCAGCCGAAAACAGGAUUAUGUUUUUUUUUCGGUAAGAAGUUAUCUGAGGAGGUAAUUGAUUAAACAAAGUAUGAAAAAAUUCCUCCAAAUCCUUAAAUGAAGCAACUCAUUAAGUCGUAACUUUACUCUUUAUGUGCUAAAAUCCUUAAAAAACCGUACAAUUUCUUGAAAAAGAUUAAAGAGAUCUGCAAACGAUUGCUUUUGUGGUAAAAUGCAAUGAGCUCUCCUGAUUUGAUUAUAAUCGCAACACCUAUGCACAAAAUCCAUAGAAUCACAAUGAGCUCCUGUGUAGUAUUUCUAAUUUCCUCGAUUACAUGUUUCGGCAUUGUCCCUUUUUUUUUCUUCUUCAACCUCGCUCAUGAUUGUAGAUUGACUAUAAUUCAACUCCUUUUUUAUUUAUAUUCCACUAAAAUUAAUUAAUACACCUAGGUUUGAUAGAUUUCUUGAUAGACUUGGUAAAAGUUUGAUUCACUUGUGUGAAUGUUUGGUGCGUAGGAGCACAACUUUCAUGUUCAUAAAUUGGUGGCUUGUGGGAUAUCUCAUUUGCAAGUCAAUCGGACGAGGAGGUAUAUUUUGAGUCAAACUCAAUUACUCUGGUUAAUAAGGCAUGGCAGACUGUUAAUGAAUGCAGAGAAGCAAAGGAGACAUUUGCACCUGGAUGGAAAGUGCACACUGCUGGAUUAGAAGAGAAUCAGAAAUACAGGCGUUGAGAGGUUGUGAAUGGAUAAGCAGAAUUUGGAAGCAGCUGGUACAUCCAGCAAAAUGGAGAGAAUUUAAAUCUAGAAGCUUGAUACAGUGGAUAGACUGGAAUGUCAACGCAAGAGUGAUGAGGGAUCAAGAAGAGGUGUACUGGCCAAUGCAAUUCCAACGAGUUGUAUACUGGGCAUGGACAGCAAGAAACGAUAUGGUCCACAGACAGGAAAAUGAAAGUGCAACCACACUUCCUGAGGCUACAGGCACUUGAAGCACAGGAGCUAAAUCAGAAGCAGGGAAUUCAAGGGUCGAAGGAAAUGAAGCAUAUUAAAUGUGAAAAGCCACUCAAGGAUGAGUGAAGCUGAAUGUGGAUGGUGCAUCAGUACAGAACCCCGGAGCUGCCAGUGCGGGAGGUUUAUUCAGAAAUGGACAGUGAAGAUGGAUGACAGGAUUCAGUGCGAAUAUUGGAAAGGCAAGCAACUUUGCUGCAGAACUUUGGGCAAUCCUAUUGGGUAUGCGGACUCUGCUGAGAGAAAGAUGUGAUAAAGUGAUCAUCCAUCAAACCAGAUUGACAAGUGGCAUUAUCACUGAUACAUGAGGCAAGGGGCGAUGGCCAAUAUCGGAAUCUGAUUGAGAAGAUUAGGAGCUUGCUGAAACAGGAGUUGGGAGUACAAGAUAGUUCGUGUUUGGCAUGAAGGGAACACGUGUGCAGAUUACUUAGCAAAUAUGGGGAGGAGUCUAGCUCCAGGGAUAAGUAAUCUAAGGGAACCUCCGCGCAACCUAAGAAGACUACUAGGUCAGGAUCUCUGCGGUAUAUCUUUACCUAGAUUAGUUUCUGUGUAAUGGGUCUAUGACCCUCCCUUGCACUGGAACCAAAAAAAGAACUCAAUUACUCAAACCUGUACAUUGCGGGAUCUUGUUAAAUAGAUUUCAGCAGGUCACUAGUCAAACAUAUUUACCAGUUGAAAAUAUGUGCUUGAGAAGAAUGGCCGGAAAUUUCUCCAAAUUUAAAAACGGAGAUUUUUGGUACUUUCUUUUUUAGGGGAUCUAUCUACGUACUUUAGUCAUUUAGCAACAGGUCAUUAUAGAAUACUGACUUCAACUACUAACUUUUGUAAUGAUAGUUUAUAUAACGAGCAAAGAUUUUGGAGAUUGGCUAGACCAGUACAAAGUAACUAAGAAAGCUGUACAAAUCACAUACAGCUUCAUCAGUUGCUUCAUCUCGUGGGGUUUGGUCCAAAUUCUGUUUGUUCAAAUGAUAUAACAAUUGAAAGUUUUCUCCUACAGGCGAGUCAUGCAUGCAUGAGAUGUCCUAUUGCAUGCUAUAAUAAAAUUAUCAUGAUUUACAUAGUAGCCUUAGAGAUUGAUAUUCAUAGAGGUAGGAAUACAAAAUGAAAGAUCAUUAAUCAUUAAUACAAUCAAAUUGAUCUUCUUCAAAAUAAUUUUUUUGUCGAAAAAGAAAAAUGGUUUCUAUGGUUGAAGCCAGCAAUUUACAGGCCUAUCCUUCGGUUUCACAGGUGGCAGUCAAGACUGCCCAAUGCAGGAAUGGUUUUUCUCGUCCUUAAUCCAUUGGACCAAAUUGCUGAAAUUCUUGCCUGAGCUCCCAUCAUUUUUAUUAUUAUCAAUAACCUUGGCUUCUAAAUCUAAGGCCCUCUUUUUUGUAUUCUCCACCAGUUAGAAGCUGCUCAAUCUUAUCCUUAAUUUCUUCUUGUGGAAUGAUUCGAUUUGCAUCUCUCGUUCAAAUCCUAAACCAAUCAUCCAAACGUCACAUAUGUAGCUCUCAUUAAGGAACUGAUCUGCAAAGUAGGGCCAACAGAGGAAAGGGACACCAUUGCUUAAACCUUCGACAGUAGAAUUCCAACCACAACGGCUGAGGAAGCAAGCCAACGAAGGAUGGCUCAAGACCUGUUGUUGAGGAGCCCAGCCUGUCAGCCUCCCACGGCCUUGCAUUCGAUCUUUGAAGCCUUCUGGAUAUGCAUUGUCUGUCUCGGUAGUUAAAUCUUGUCUCACAGCCCACAGGAAUGGCCUAUUGGUGAGUUCAAGCCCAAGCGCCAGCUCCCUGAAUUGUGUCGGAUCAAAAACUGUGAAGCUCCCUAAUGCAACAACAUAAAUGACAGAUUGCGGAGGCUGCUUAUUAAGCCAUGCCAGCAAUCUGAAUCUUCAGGCCAGAAGUAGCCAACCGAUUUUCCAAGUCGAUUACUUGCCAAAAGAGGGCCUACACGUAGUAGUUGAGGAAAUAAAGUGAAGGCUGCCGGCUCUAAUUCACAACUUGUAUUGCAGAACAGCCAAUCUGCCAGUUUAGCUGUUCUGAUUGAUUUUAACAAGGUAUCAAAAGCAAAAUUUUGUAAUGUGGGAUCACUAAAGCAGGUCCAAAGAAGAUGUUCAGGCUUCAUGUCUGGUGUGGUUGGUGCCAACUUUAUCAUCUGCUUCUUCAAUACGGCACCUGCACAAAAAAAGUCAUGUUAAAGCCUUUUCAAUUGAAUUAUAAAACAGCAUAACGUUUGCAGUGUGAUGACUAUAAAUAAUUUAUUUUCUUUCUCUAAUGGUGUUGGCAAGGAAUUAUCGGAAAUGAGUCAAUCUUACCAGUGCUACUUAUGAUUCCAUCAUCUAUGAGCUUCGGGAUGCUGAAUAUUUGUGUCAACUGUAAAGCUGACGCUGGCCAAAAGGCUACUGCCUUGAUUCUCAUUUUCUUUGCAACUUCUAGUGCCAAUCCCAUGGUCUUAUCAGCAAUAAUGCAUGUGAUUUUAUCACUGUCAGAUUGAUUUAUGCUCUUUAUUAGAGACUCUAGAUUCGCAGGCAUGACCUGGUAAACUGAUAGCGUCAAUUUCAUUACGUCAUUUCUGUCUAUUGGACUUGUAUGGGCCAGCUCAUUUGUGGGCAACCUAAAACACAAACCAUCAAGACUUGAGGGUUUCUCAAUUGAGACAGCCGCAAGAAAGCAAUUUGAUGAGAAGAAUUCCAGCCGCACAAUUUGCCAGAGAAACGAAGAGAGAGAAAGAGUGAGAGCUAGAGAGAGAAAAUUCUUUGUAACUUUGAAACCUCAGUUGGAAGGUGAUUUGAAAUCCGAUUGAGACGAAAUUUUAUACACACGAUCCUCUCGUCAAACUCUACUCAUCUACCCGUUCAGAUUUCAGAUUUUCUCUUCGUUUGGUAACACUUUUUAAACUCACUUCUUUGACAGUUAUAGUAUUUAGGGAUGAUUUUGCCGCAAUUUUGUUUUGUUGAUAUUGGUGAUAUUAUUGUCAUCCGAAUAUUUCAGAUAGACCUGUAUAUUUUCAUUAUUGUGAUAGUGAAGAUUUUGAUUGGACUAGAUCCCGUGAUUUUUUCUAAUUUGGGUUUUCCACUUAAAAAGUUUGGUGUCCUAUGCCUUUUAUUUUUUUUACAUUUUAUUAUCACUGUUGACAUUAUUACUUGGUGAUUUAAUUUAUUCCUAUUUUAACUAAUAUUUGGGAAAAGAGGAAUUUAUCCUGGACUUAUUCUGAUAUUAUGUGCUUGUACUGGUACCCCUUCCCCAACAAGUGGUAUCAGAGCAGUCGGGUUAGGCUGCUUAUUUGUACUGGUUAAAAAUGGAUGAUUCGGACAGUGGUUGCAUGAUAAAAUUGAAUGCUAUUAAUUAUUCGAUUUGGAAGUCUAGAAUGGAAGACUACCUGUAUUGUAGAGAUUUGUUUGAACCUGUUCUAGGGGAUAAAGGUAAACCAAAUGAUAUGAGUGAUGAAAAAUAAGCUGUUAUGCACAAAAAAACUGUUGAUAAUAUUAGAAAAUGAAUUGGUCAAAAUAUUUUUCAACAUAUUGCUAAUGACACCAGAUCUGAUAUAUUAUGAAAAAAACUUGAAAGUAUAUAUGAACGAAAGAUCGGUUUGAACAAGGCUAGUUGUCUGAAGCAGAUUACUCGAAUGAGAUAUAAAGAUGGGGAAGAUAUGACUGAACACCUGAGUAAUUUUCAGGGAUUGAUAACUAGGCAACUACGUUAAAUUUGGAUUUGGAUGAUGAAGUGCAGGCUCUAUUAUUAUUUAGUUCAUUACCGGAUAGUUGGAAACCAUGGUGGUCUCCAUCAGCAAUUCAACUUUGAAUGGUGUGUUGACCAUAGUUAUGUCAAAAGAGACCGUGAUGAAUGAAUAGUUCAGGAGGAAGGAACAAGCAAUUGCCUAUGAGUCCCAGGCCUUGGUGACAGAAAAGAAAGAAAGAAGAGAAAGAAGCAAAAGUAAAGAACCCCAAAACAAGAAUGACAAAUCCAGAUGCAGAUUUGGGUCACGAAAAAAUAUUGCAUGCUAUUAUUGUAAAAAGAAUGGGCAUUAUAUGAAGGAGUGCAGAAUCUUAAAACGGGAACAAGUUGAGAAAAAAGAUAAGGCGAAAGAAAAAGGUGAUGAAGAGACUACAACAAUUAUGGUAGCUCAUGAUGAUAUGUUUGUGUUCUGUGAUAAUGGUCAGACGAAUAUUAUUCAUUAUGACGGUGAUUCAUUAUGACAGUUGAUUCGAGUGCAUCCUAUCAUGUUACUGCUCACAGACAUCUCUUCUCAACCUACACCGAAGGAGAUUUUGGAUAUGUUAUGAUGAAAAAUGAGGUUUCAUGCAAAGUUGUUGGCAUAGGAGACAUAUAUUUGGAUACAGAUAUCAGGUGCCAACUGAUAUUAAGAAAUACUCAACAUGUUCAUGAUAUUCGUUUUAAUCUUAUUUCUACAGGAAAACUUGACGAUAAGGGUUAUCAUAACUUGCAAGGUGGAGGCAAAUGGAAACUCAGCAAAGGAAAUAUCGUUGUUGCUAGAGGAAAGAAGCAGAGUACCCUCUACUUGAUGCAAGCCAAGUUGGGAAAGAGAGAAGUGAAUACAGUUCGUGAUUCAUCAAUUGACCUUUAGCAUCGGCGACUUGGGCACAUGGGUGAAAAAGGGAUUCAAACACUUGUUCACAAACAACUGCUACCUGAAGUUAGAGGUAAUGCACUUAAACCUUGUGUUGACUGCAUUUAUGGGAAACAACAUAAAGUUGCAUUUCAAAAUUUUUCUCUAUCUAAAAAAUUGAAUCCCUUAAAAUUGGUGCACACUGAUGUUUGCUAUAUGAAAGAUAAGUCUCUUGGUGGUGCUGUUUAUUUUAUAACUUUUAUUGAUGACUUUGCUAGAAAGGUUUGGUAUUUUGUUUUGAAAUCCAAAGAUCAGGUUUUAGAUAUAUUUAAAGAUUUUUAUAGCAAAGUUGAAAGAGAAACUGACAAGCAGUUAAAGUGUAUUCGUGCUGAUAACGGUGGUGAGUACAGAGGACCAUUUGAAAUUUAUUGCAAGUCCCGUGGAAUUAGAUUGGAAAAGACUGUGCCAAAAAUUUCUCAAGAGAAUGGAGUAGUAAAGAGGAUAAAUAGAUCAAUCACUGAAUGGGUCAAAUGUAUGCUCUCUAAUACUAAGUUGCCAAAAUCCUUUUGGAGUGAAACAAUGAGGACUGCGGUCGAUUUGAUUAAUCUUUCUCCAUUAGUUCCUCUAGAUAGUGACAUCCCAGAGAGAGUAUGGACGGCAAAAGAUAUAUCUUUUAAACAUUUGAGAGUUUUUGGUUGGCGGACAUUUGUUCAUAUUCCUAAAGAUGAGAGGUCAAAACUUGAUGUAAAAAUCAAAGCAGUGUAUUUUCUUGGAUUAUGAACAUGAAGAUUUUGGUUAUAGAUUGUAUGAUCCUGUUGAAAAAAAGCUGAUCAGGAGUAGAAAUGUUGUCUUCUUUGAAGAUCAAACCAUUGAAGAUAUUGAUAAAGGUGACAACACAAAAUCUUCAAAUGACAUUCCUACUAUUUCAAAUUCAGAUCUUGAUCCAAUUCGAGUACCUAUUGAUUUUAAUUAAGGGGGAGCUGAGACGAAGCAGAGAAAGGAUGUUAAUCAUGGUGAUAAUCCUACUGCUGAUGAACCUAAGCAUGAAGCGCUACCUACUCCACUAGCGCCAACACAAGAUGAGUUUAGGAGAUCUACCAGAGAGAGAAGACCUUCUAGCAGAUAUAAUCCUAUGAAUAUGUGUUGUUAACAGAUGGAGGAGAGCCAGAGUCCUAUUGUGAGGUUUUUUAGAGUAUGAGAACAAAGAAAAUUGGUUGCGAGCCAUGUAAGAGGAAAUGGUAUCGUUACAUGAGAAUCAUACCUAUGACUUAGUGAAAUUGCCUAAGGGUAAGAGAGUUUUGAAGAACAAAUGGGUUUACAGGUUGACAACUCAGGAGCAUAGCUUAGAACCAAAGUACAAAGUAAGAUUGGUUGUGAAGGGAUUUAGUCAAAAGAAGGGUGUAGACUUUGAAGAAAUUUUCUCUCCUGUGGUAAAGAUGUCGUCAAUUCGAGUUGUUCUACGUAUUGCAGCCAGUUUAAAUUUGGAGAUCGAGCAACUUGAUAUGAAGACAACUUUCCUGCAUGGUGACUUGGAAGAGGAGAUUUACAUGGAACAAUCGAAAGGGUUCACAGAAAGUGGCAAGAAAAUCUUGUACGCCGUCUCAAGAAGAGCUUAUAUGGGUUGAAAUAGGCACCGAGACAAUGGUACAAGAAGUUUGAUUCCUUCAUGAUAAACCACGAGUACCACAAGAUUACAUUUGAUCACUGUGUUUAUGUGAAAAAUUUUUCAGAUGGUAAUUUUAUUAUUCUCUUAUUGUAUGUUAAUGAUAUGUUGAUUGUUGGCCGUGAUACGAUAAAGAUUGAUAGGCUGAAGAAGAAGUUAAGUAAAUCCUUUGCAAUGAAGGAUUUGGGUCCGGCUAGACAAAUAUUGGGGAUGAAAAUCUCACGAGACAGACAAAAUAGGAAACUUUGAUUGUCUCAAGAAAAGUAUAUUGAGAAAGUACUCAACAUGCUUAACAUAAGCAAAACUAAGAAACUCUCAACUCCACUUGCGGGUCACUUUAAAAUAAUUAUCAAGUAGUGUCCUACAAGUGAGAAAGAUAAAGAAGACAUGAAUAAGGUUUUCUUAUGCUUCGGCUAUUGGUAGUUUGAUAUAUGCUAUGGUUUGCACCAGACCAGAUAUUGCUCAUGCAGUUGGAGCAGUCAGUCGAUAUCUCUCUAAUCCUGGAAAGGAGCAUUGGAAUGCGCCGUCAAAUGGAUUCUCAGGUAUCUCAAGGGAACUUCUAGAUUGUGUCUAUGUUUCGGCAAUGGUAAAACUAUAUUAGAUGGGUACACCAAUGCAAAUAUGGCAAGUGAUCUUGACAAUAAGAAUUCCACAUCUGGGUACUUGAUGAUUUUUGUAAGGGGAGCAGUAUCAUGGCAAAGUAAGUUACAAAAAUAUAUCGCCCUUUCCAGUUCAGAGGCAGAGUAUAUCGUAACCACUGAAACAUGCAAGGAAACUCUUUGGUUGCAGAAAUUCCUUCAGUAGUUGGGUAUGAAGCAAGAGAAGUAUAACCUUUAUUGUAACAGUCAGAAUGCUAUUCAUUUGUGUAAGAACUCUACAUUUCACUCUCGGUCCAAACACAUUGAUGUGAGAUAUCAUUGGAUUAGGGAAGUAUUGGAUUCCAAGUUAUUGACACUUGAGAAGGUGCAUACAAAUGAUAAUGGUGCUGACAUGUUUACCAAGGAAUUGCCUAACGAGAAACUUUUAUUUUGCAGACAAGAAGCAGGUUUGGUAGAAUCCCCCAAAUGAGCUGGAGGGAGAGAUUAUUGGACUUGUGUGGGCCAGCCUAUUUGUGGGCCAACCUAAUACACAAACCAUCAAGACUUGAGGGUUUCUCAAGUGACGGAAUAUAUUGAGAUAGCCGUAAGAAAGCAAUUUGGUGAGAAGAAUUCUAGCUACACAAUUUGUGAGAGAAACGAAGAGAGAGAAAGAGUGAGACCAAGAGAGAGAAACUUUUUUGUAACUUUGAAGCCUCAGUUGGAAGGUGAUUUGAAAUCCGAUUGAGACAAAAUUUUAUAUACGUGACCCUCUCGUCAAACUCUACUCAUCUACCAUUCAGAUUUCAGAUUUUCUCUUCGUUUGGUAACACCUUUCUAAACUCACUUCUUUGACAGUUGUAGCUUUUAGGGGUGAUUUUGUAGCAAUUUUGUUUGGUUGAUAUUGGUGAUAUUAUUGUCAUCCGAAUAUUUCGGAUAGACCUGUGUAUUUUCAUUAUUGUGAUAGUGGAGAUUUUUUAUUGGACUAGGUUCCCUGAUUUUUUCCAAUUUGUGUUUUUCACGUAAAAAGUUUGGUGUCCUGUGCCUUUUAUUUUUCUUACAUUUUAUUAUCACUGCUGGCAUUAUUAUUUGGUGAUUUAAUUUAUUCUUAUUUUAACUAGUACUUGGGGAAAGAGUAAUUUAUCUUGGACUUACUCUGAUAUUGUGUGCUUGCACCGGUACUCCUUUCCGAACACUGUCCUCCCAUGAUUCCAAUCCAUCUGGGACUGACACCAGUUGCAUCAUAGCUGGUAUAUUGUCCUCCUACGAUAAUGAUUUGGUAACUCUCUUGUGAUUGAAUUCGGUGUUUACAAGCGUAACCCUAAUACCCUGCCUGACUAAGCACAAGGCCAGUUCCAUUAAGGGAAGUACAUGACCUUGUGCUGGAUAAGGAAUGGCUAGAACAUGUGGAUGAAGAUGAUUCAUGAUGUUCCUCUAAUGCAGAAAAUGUAGUAUAAGAACUUCCCUACUUGUCCCACCAUUUACAGACUACUAGGAAAAUGCACAUGCAUUGCACAUGUUGGUUAAUCAAUACUGAAACGAAACCUCUUUAUUUAGUCAUGAAUUAACAUUACUUAAUUUGCCUUAUGGAUAUAUAUAUAAUACUAUUAGGAGUUGUGAUUUAAAAUUGGAAAUAUUCAGUCAAUCAUUCACAUAUUUUAGAAUAGAUGUAUUAAAUAGUUAUUUUAUUCAAAGACAAAAGAGUUUUUUCCCUUGAAAUUCGGUUGUGAUAUGAGUUAAUUAAUACAUGUAGGGAUCGGUACACAGUUUAAGACAAUUUAGAGAUUACUUUUUGUUUAAAGAGAUAAAAACCUUGCAAAGGCCUUUUUUCUAUUUCUUCACAUAUGAACUAUUUCUUCUCACUUUGUUGAAUUACAACAAUUUUUGCAAUUUUAGGUUUUACAUUGAUUUUUUUAUACACAACUCCUUUGUCUAUCUCCCUCUAUAUCUUUGAUUAAGAAUAUCCUUUGCAUCUUCAUGUUAUUUGUCUCGUUUCAUUCUAGACCUUUUAUAUUAACUUAAGAUAAAGUUUUUAUGUCUCCUUAUUCUAGCUUUGUGUGGGAACAUGUACGUGAGUUCUGUUCAACAUGUGAUGAAUCUCUGGACCACUUAUAUUUCUUGCGUCCAUAUUCCAGGUAUGUGUGGGAACAUGUGCAACAAAAGUGUUUGGUUUACAAGCAGGCUCUUGAGUAGGAUAGUGAAUUGCAAUGGAUGAUCAUUGAUUGCUCUCAGCAGAACUUUGUUUCUCAAGUAAGAAGGAUCACAUUUGCAGCUACUGUGUAUCACUUGUGGUGGAGCAAGAAUCAACAGGUUCUUAAGAAAAUAUUGCAUUCUCCUGAGUGUAUGGUUCAUGUGAUUCUUAAGGAUGGCCGUGGUCUACUAAUAGGAUGGAAGAAUAUGAAUAGAAAGCAAGAAAAUUUACAACUAUGCAGUGAAUUUGAUAUUUCUUUACUUCAUUGAUGACAUUGUAGAGACUUGUAAUAUAGAUUAUAGGUUUCCUUUCUUGAUUUGAUUUAUUUGACUAAGGGACAAUCCCUUGUAUAGUGAUCUAUAUGCUUUGCAAUUCCAAAAUACACCCAAGAGAAGGUUAGGUUAGGUGAUAAGGUGGAUGGGAUUAUAAGUAGAAUGUUUUGAAUUCAAAAUCUCCCACUUAAAAAAAAUUAUCCAUUAUUUAUCUUAUCAAAUUACAAUAAUGAUAAGUAGCAUAUUUGUACACACACAAAUUAUUAGGUAUUCAGUCUUUGAAUGGCUAAAAUUAAGAGAGUAAGAGUUUUUACAUAAUUUUUCAGGUAUUCAACUUCUAAUUAAAUGGCCAACUGGUUUGAAAAAUAUAGUCUUCAUAUGCUUGCGCUUUGGUAUGUAUAAUGAUCCUUAUCAUACAAUAUUUUGUUGAAUAAUUCAAAAGAAAAAGAGAAGAUUCCUUCAGAACAUUAUGAAAAACAAGAAGUAAAUUUGGAUCAUAUAAAUGCACAAUCAAAUCUACAAAGCAGGGAGCAAAUUAUCCAGAAGGCUACUAAAUUCUUGGAAUUGUUGAGUUUUGAUCACUGAACGAUUAAAAGUUUGAUUUUGACCACUGAACUAUUUAAAGUUUAGAUUCUAGGCCAUUUUAUCGGAUUUAAUCAUUAACUAUGCUGAUUUUUUUUUGUCUCGUGAAUCACGCGUGCACUCAGAUCUAGCAUAGUUAACGAUUAAAUCUGACGAAAUAGCUUGAAAUCUAAACUUUAGGUAGUCCAAUGGCCAAAACCAGAUUUUUAAUAGUCCAGAAGUCAAAACUCAAUGAUUCCAAAAAUUUAGUAGCCAUGCUGAUAAUUUUCUCCAAUCCGAAUCUUCAAGCUAGAAGGAGCCAACCGAUUUUCCAAGUCCCUUACUUGCCAAAAGAGGGCCUCCAGGUAGUAUUUGAGCAAAUAAAGUGAAGGCUGCCGCCUCUAAUUCACAACUCGUAUUGCAAUCAACUAAUCUGCCAGUUUAACUGUUAUGUUAAUUUUAACAAGGUAUCAAAAGCAAAAUUUUGUAAUGUGGGAUCACUAAAGCAGGUCAAAAGAAGAUGUUCAGGCUUCAUCUCUGGAAUGGUAGGUGACAACGUUACCAUCUGGCUCUUCAACACAGUACUGGCUGCACUAAAAAGCUUGACAUGUUUAGAACCUUUUCAACUGCAUACAAAAUAGCAAAAUGUAGAACUGAUAGUAAUAAUACGUGCUAUGAUGAUUAGCAGUUUGAUGACUACAAAUAAUUUAUCUUCUUUCUCUAAUGGUGCUGGAAAGGAAUUAUCUUAAAUGAGUCAAUCUUACUAGUGCUACUUAUGAUUCUAUUAUCUAUGAGCUUUAGGAUGCUCAUAGAUAUACUAGACGUGUUGUAUUCAUCAUUGUCCAAUGUGGGAGUGCCACCUCAACAACUGAUACUUGUAAUGAUUGAUGAAUAUAAGUGUUCUGCCUCGAGUCAUGAGACUCAUGACCGGUUUUUGCAGAUGCAUAACCGGCAACAUUUGUAUUAAAAAAUGAGAGAAGUGGGGCCCGGAUUUGAGAAUCAAAAGAGCAUAUUCUUGUAUUUAACCGUGCACAUCACAAAAAUUCAUGGUCUUCCCAACAAAACUGUAUCAUACAAAAUUCAAUUUUUUUUGACAAAAAUCAAUUCUAGUUCUACCAUAAUUCAAUUUUCCGAGGAUUGGUUUCAAAGUUUGUUGUCCAAGUUGCAUUCAAUGCUUUCACCAACAGUAACUGAAGCGUUUGGAAAUAAGUUAUAAAAAAUUUAAUGAAUUGAAAAGGUUGUUGGAAAUAAUAAAUGGCAUUACUUUAAACCUAUACUACAAAUUCUUCAAGAACGCCAGGAAAGGAUCCACUACAAUGCGUAUGGAAGAAAAGUAGUAGAAAAUCAACAAAGAAAACCUCUAAUUGUAAACGUCAAAGAGCGCUAGGAAAUGAUCCACCACAAUGCAUAUGGAAGAAAAGUGGCAGAAAAUCAACGAAGAAAACCUCCCAAAGUUGAAAAGAAGGUAAAUAAUAUUUAUUAAAUUUUGAUAAAGACCAUUGACAGGUGCCGAACCUGUGCAAUAAUAAUUACUAAAAAUCCUAAUUACCACCACAAUUAAUUAUAGAACAAAUCCAAGUACUGGAGCAGGGACCCUAGGUGUGCAAUGGGUUACUUGAUUCACCCUGUUUCCGAAGAGUUUGCUUGAUCCGAUAUACCAGAUUAGUCUAUAAAAAUAUUAAUUUUGUGUACAAUGGCAAGUAGGGCCGAUUCCACAGGGAGCGGGUAGGAAAUUAUUUCUUUCCAAAUUAGUAGAACGAAAAUGGGGGAUUUUCAAUGGGAGGCAAAUAAAAAUGAAAUUAAACCAAUAAAAUUCAAAACUAACUCACAAAGCACAAUUCACUAAAAAUAGCAAUUAAUAAAAUUUCACCCAAAGGAUCAACUGCUCAGGCAUGGUCCAAUUAAAUACUCAUCGAUGCAAAGGUAUUUCAUCCAUUCAUCACCAGAUUGGUUAUAGUUAUCAACAAACUCUGACAACCAGUCUUCCUUACUUUUUCGACAGUCAAGGUACGACCAUUGACUGCUUCUCUAACCAGAUAACAACCCUAGGUACGACCGUAGGAAUUUAAUUACCCAAUUGCAUUAAAGCUAGAAGAACCCAACCCUAACCAAUAAACAUGCUAAGAGGGUUUAUUUAAAUCAGAUCUUGCGUUUUCCCAUCAUAGAACCAAUUAUGGUGGUUGCCACGAGGUGUUAAUUAAAUGAACAAUUACGGAUUCUAUUUAAUUAACGUGGCAGUAGACUAUUAAAUUAAAUCAAAUACCCGGCUGUUGAUAUUCAAUUAAUAAAAUACCCAUGAACAAUUAAUUCAGGAAACGCACGAAUAGCAAUAAAUUGGAAGAAAUAAUGAAAAUUUGAUUAGAUCUCACAAAUAUUAUGGACCGCGCCUUCGCGUCAACCUUUGGGUAGAGGAGAAAAUUAGCCGCUCCUCAUCGUGUCAAUCCCACGUGAUUUAAAUGAAGUCAUUCAAUUAUUCGCCGAAGAAUUGGGGAAUGGGGAAUUAAUUGCAGUAACAACAGAGAAGGCCCUGCCUUCAUCUUUGAUCCGGAGCCACAAGUGUACGAACAAAAGCUAACGUAAAUUGUGCAGAGUCAAAACAAAAGCCAAGGAGUCAAAGUGUCACAACCGAAAAGUUACAAAAGUCUGCAAUUGCCUGACCCUCUCGAAAAGAAAAUCAAAGCUAAUCUAUUCUUCUCUGCAGUUGCUGCCGAAGAAGAAAACAAAAAGCCAAGAAAUGUGUCUGACCCAAAAUUGCAGAAAAGUAAAACUAAGCUUAAAGUAGUGAUAAUCCUUGAAUCCUGCUUUUUCCUCCUUUUUAUAGCCGCCGCCCAAGAGAAGUAAAGAAAAAUACGUCUGGAGCAAUUCAUCUAACAAAAGCUAUCCCCUUUGGAGUUUUGAUCCCACGCUUCGGGUUCACGUGGACCGGGGUCCGGCUUUUCGGUAACGCCUACCUUUUAAGGCGUGGCCACGCUCUGAGACGAAGGGUCUUCUAGAAAUUUGCCUCCAGAGAUCAUUUUUAAUGCCGACCACCUUUAAUUCGUACAAAUAUGAAAUAUAAGUUAAACCUCAGUACUUAGCACAGUAAUAGCCAAAAUUAGGACAAAAUAAUACUGCAAAACGUGCCAAAUAACGGCUCUAUCAAAUCCCCCCACACCUAGACAAUGCUUGUCCUCAAACAUUUCGGAGCUUAGAAGUACAACCAAGAGAGCAGAGGUUAUGGAAUAGUCUAUACUAACACAAGCAUCUAAGGUCCCUGACAAUAUCGCCGAGAUUAGAACACACCGGACAAGUUGUAAUUCAAAGAAGAUAUGUAAUACUAGGAACUCUCAAAUCAACAUCGCGGAAUGCCAUUACCAUAGGCUUGCACAUUUGUCACAUCUCCACCACUCAAAAGUGAACUAAAUACAUAAAUCAAAAGGACUUUGAUAAGGUUGUAAUGGGGCUUAGGUAAAAAGCAGGAUAGGAAAGUAUAGAGAGGGGGUAAUAUGUUAAGAGACUGUCCGAAUCCCACCAUAUAACCACAGUGCUUUACCGGAGGAGUUUCACAAACAAGGCGGUUUUCAUUUGCUGUACACACUGAGCAAGUGCCCUUUUUUUUUUUUUUUGCAAGGAAGCAUAUCUUGCAAGGCGUGGGCACGCCCUGCAAGCCAAAGUCGCCUGAUCACUCCCUUCGUUUUUUUUUUUAGGGAGAAUGCCUUGCAAGACGUGGGCACGCCCUAUAAGACAGUCUUCUGAUCAAUGGCUUUUUGUCAAUUUCUCCCCCUUUCACAAGGGUACCAUCAUACAGAUCCUACUCUAACAACCCUUGCACCCCCAGAUCUGUUUGCUUUGCACAAAUGAUGGAAUUCAGACAUCCCUUGACAACACAGGGGUAAACAAGAAAGUUUAAAGAGGUCUCGGGUUAACAAAAACGGAUAACAACCAAAAGCGAAGGAUAAAAGUUCAAAUUAGUUCACUAUUGGGAAACAAGGUGAAUGCAUGAUUUUCUUUCGAAAGCUCAAAAGGUCAAAUCCUAAAUGCCCUUAUCAUUUUAAAUGCAUCUAGUUCAACAGAAUGUGGUCUUGACAUGUACAAAAUAGCAAGUUCUAGAAUGUUCAUACCAUGUGCGAUACCCACUCAAUCAAACAAAAUAGAGCAAACAAGAAUAAUAUGCUCAAGCAAGGCUCAAAAGCUCCCCAAAAGUUACAAGAAUGGGUCAAUUCCAGCAUAUUCAACAUUCAAUGACAUUGCCAAGGGAAACAAAAUGCACAACUAGCAUAUUUGACCACACACCCACUCACUUUGAUUGUGUCAUUCAUCACAGCAACAUGCCCCAACACUAACAAGCAUAGAAAUAAACCAAAAAGCCGACUAACUACAAUGUUUUUCACUUUUUGUUUCCAUUCAUCCCAUGUUGUUUUUUUUUUUGAGUAAUCAAAGCAAAAAGAACUAAUGAAAAAGAGAGAGAACUAAUGGAAGCCACUCCCCCCACACCUAAGACCUACAUUGUUCUCAAUGUAGAAGAGACAAAUAAAGUAUUAGGAGGAAAGAAGAGAAACUUCCCUGACCACCGGGGAGGAAAAAUGAGAUACUAAGGCGGAGGGGGGUGAGGCGGGGUGAAUCCAAUGUGAGCGAAGAAGGCCGCCUGAUUCUCUGCCUGAAUGCGGGCGAAGACCUGGAGUGCCAUAAGACGGCCAUCUAUUCUCGACACCUGGGUGUUGAGCUCAUCAAAAGAAUCCUGGAGGUCCUGGUAGCGGGGGUCCCCAGCAGGAGGAGUAUGAGAGGAGGACGGACCCGCCGGAUCCGAAUGGGGUGGAGAGUCAGUGGAGGGUGCAGUGGUGGGCACCCGAGGCUGUGGCCCGUCCUCACCAGGGGGCGUAAACUGAUAGACAUCGCCCACUUUGAAAAUAACCCCCAUCCGCUCCAAACUGCGCAAAUCCAGUGGCUCAAUCUCUCGAGUUAGGGCAAAGUUGUGCUCCUUGUCGAGGUCUAGCAAGCCCAAUCGAAUGGCCAAGUGGGUAAUGAGGGAGCCCAAAAUGAUCGAUUUAUUUCGCUUUUGAAUGACUGAUUCCAUUUGAGUGGCUACCCAACAUCCAAAAUUAACCUUAACAUUGUUGCGCAUGCAUCAAAGGAAGUAGAAUUCUGCUUUGGUAAGGGUGCCGGAGGAAUCUUUCCACCCCGAGAAAUUGUGAGCCAAGAACCUGUGAAUGACCUUCAAGACCGGAUCCUUCAGUUGAGAGGCCUUGGACUGACUCGGAUUAUAAAUUUGCCGAUCCGUGGACCACUCUCUCCAUAUGUCGAUGUACUCAGUCUUGAACGGUCUAGUGUAGUCACAAGCACUAUUAAUAUAAGCUCCGGAUGCAAUGGUAUCGUCACUGACAAACCCCAAAGUCAGAUUAAACUGAUUAAUGGACAUACUAUACUGAGUGCCUUUUAAUCUGAACUGAAUAAUCUCUGGCUCAUCCAAUGUGAUGUAGUCAUUUCUGAUGAACUUGAAAGAGGAGUAGAAUUCACAACACAGCUCCUCAAACGUGGGGUAGUUAAUGAUGAGAUACUUUUGCCAGUCGAUUGCCGAGAACAACUGUUCAACCUCUCGUGCAAUUCGCAAAUGGUCCAAGGUUGGGGCAUGAAAGCACUUACAAGGAGUAAAAGGACGGUGCACCAAGUUGUUAAACCGGUCCUGUUGGGCCCUUGUAAGAUUAGUGACCGGUUCCCCCCACUCCCCAGGGGACAUGGUACUCUUAUUCAGGCCCAAACGGGACCGAAUGGUGGGUUGAACCGGGGCUCGUCUCUUACGAGGUUGGGACCCAGACGGCCCAGCAGUUGUCUUCUUAGGAGGCAUUCGGAGACCACAUGAAGAAUAAAUCAGCUCAGAGACAGCCAAUCAACCACCAAGAAACAGAUAGGGGACCACGGCCAACAAAAAUUACUGAAUAUUCCGCAGCUCAACAGCAAAGGGGGACACAAUUACCCCAUCAAACAACAACCAGACAACAAACACCAACCAAUGCCCCAAUGCCGUCAAUUAGCCGACAACAAUAAAGAGGACCAAUCCAACUCCCCUCAAAUCAAGAUAUCAGUCAAUAAAAGGCAACAAUCAGCGAGCUACCGACCACGUGUAACAAAUAAUAAAUUCACCAGAGCCCACAGAUGUCUCAAGUAUAUAAUCAAUCCCAGGCAGAUAGGCGGACUCACACUUGCAGACAACAAUUAAAUGGUCCCCCAAAAACAAGCAAUUAUGUGUCAACCCAACACGAGUAGAAAUUCAGCAAUAAGAAAUCUCAUAUCUUGGUCACAUAUAGCAACCGACCCCCAAUUCAAAAACUAGUAGCAACAAUCGAAUAUGAUAAAUGUACCACUUUCUGCCCACAACGGAGGAGAAGGACAAACGGCAGGGGGGCUAGUGGUGGAGUGACGGCGCGGCUGCGAGGGGGGUUGCGCGCUGCAGGAGCAACUGACCACGCGCGAGAAGGGUUGUGGCCAGCUGGGCGCGAUGGGCGCACUGGCUGCGCGCAGGGGCGUGCUCCGGGCUGGUGCUGGUCGCGCGGCUGAGGGAGGCUGGCGCGUUGGGGUCGCGUGAGGCAGGCGCGGCCGCUUGGGCAGGUCUAACACACGCGAGCGGAUGGCCUGCCCGACGCUCGCGCGAGCGGUGUGAGCGCGGAUCUGAUGCCGCACUGGCUGACGAAGCUCGAGGAGGGAGGAGUGGGCGCGCACGCGCGCUGGGGCUUGAGCUGGAGGCGCGAUGUGCAGGGCUGCGUGCUGCAGGACACUUGCAGAUCUGCUGCUGGGCUGCACGCAGGCUGCCAGGAGGAGCAGGCGAGCGGGGGCUGAUGGCCUGACCUGGGCGCAGAGAAGCGGAUUGUCGCGCGCGCGCGCGCGAACAACAGCGGACUGCGGACGGCGGCGGCGGCGGCUUGACCAAAACAGGAAGAAGAAGUUGUUGCAGCGUAGCCAAAAGAAAUUUGGAGGAAAGAGGCCAAGACUAGUCAAAGAAGAAGGAAAAGUGGAAGAAGUAGGGUCUUGGUCAAAAAAAUUUUUUUUUUUUUUGGCUUUCGCUAUCGGAAGGGUUGGAAGGCGUGGGCACGCCUUGAAACCCCUAUUCUUCUGUCCAUCACCACAAAAACAAUCAAAACAUUAAAAUAAAAUUGAAAAAUUGCAGAGUAAUGAAAAAUGAUCACAAUUAAUACUGAAAUCCUUGGGUUACCUCCCAAGCAGCGCCUUCCUUUAACGUCUUUGGCUAGACAUGGCCUUCAACUGUUUAGACUUCACCACUUGGAUUAUCAAGGAAUAGAACCUCCACUUGCUCACUAUUAAACCCUUCAUAAUUGGGUUUCAAACGAUGACCAUUGACCACGAACUUCUUCUCCGUCUUCAGACUUUGGAUUUCCAUUGCACCAUAAUGAAAAAUAUUAGAAACAACAAAUGGACCAAUCCAACGGGAAUGCAACUUACUAGGAAAAAACUUAAGUCUCGAGUGAUAAAGUAGGACUUUUUGCCCUACGACAAACGAUUUUCUCGACACUUGUUAGUCAUGAAAAAUUUUGCUCUUCUCCUUAUAUAUUGCAGCGUUCUCAUAGGUUUCAUUCCUUAGCUCCUCCAACUCUUGUAAUUGGAGCCUCCUAUUUCCUUCGGCCUCUAUAAGGUCCAUAUUACACCGCUUAAGCGCCCAGAAUGCUCUGUGUUCAAAUUCCACCGGAAGGUGGCAAGGCUUCCCAAAAACUAACCUAUAUGGGGACAUCCCAAUUGGUGUCUUAUAUGCAGUGCAGUAGGCCUAGAGAGCAUCGUCCAAUCUCAGACUCCAAUCUUUCCUAUCAGGCCGCACCAUCUUUUCUAGAAUAAACUUGACCUCCCUAUUCGACACUUCGGCCUGCCCAUUCGUCUGUGGAUGAUAUGGAGUGGACACUUUAUGGAGCACACCAUACUUACGAAACAAUGCAGUGAUUGUCUUAUUGCAGAAAUGGGUGCCCCUCUCACUCACUAUAGUUCUCGGCAUUCCAAAACGGACAAAAAUGUUAGAUCUUAUAAAAUCUGCAACCACUCUAGAAUCAUUAGUCCGGGUGGCUUUUGCCUCCACCCAUUUGGAAACAUAGUCAACAGCAAGUAUAAUGUACAAGAAACCAAAAAACGAGGGGAAGGGACCAUGAAAUCUAUACCACAAAUAUCAAAAAUCUCAACAAAUAAUAUGGGAGUUUGACUCAUUUGGUCUCUACGAGAGAGAUUCCCCACCCUUUGACACUUAUCACAAGAUUUGUAGAAUAAAUAUGCAUCCUUAAAGAGAGUAGGCCAAUAAAAACCACUUUCUAACACCUUACGAGCUGUCCGCUUUGGACCAAAAUGCCCUCCACAUGCAAACGAAUGACAGAAAGUCAAAAUAGAAUAAAACUUACCUGCACUUACACACCUUCUUAUCACUUGGUCCGAGCAUUGCCUCCACAAGUAGGGGUCAUCCCAAAUAUAGUGCUUAGCGUCACUUUUUAACUUAUCUCUUCUAACCUUUGGCCAACCUGCAGGUAAUUGAUUCGUGACAAAAAAAUUGACAAUGUCAGCAUACCAAGGUAUCCGACGAAUCAAUGACUAGUAGUUGCUCCUCAGGAAAUGAUUCUCUCAACGGCAGAUCCUCUUGAUUUGCGAGCAACAGGCUCAAAUGAUUAGCCACCAAAUUCUCGGCUCCGCUCUUGUCCUUGAUCUCUAGAUCGAAUUCCUGCAGGAGCAAGAUCCACCUGAUCAGCCUCGAUUUUGCAUCCUUCUUCGCCAGCAAGUAUCUCAAAGCUGCAUGAUCAGAGAAAACAAUUACUUUUGCACCCAAUAAAUAUGACCUAAAUUUUUCUAGUGCAAAAACAACAGCUAGUAAUUCUUUCUCCGUCGUGGGGUAAUUAAGUUGGGUUCUACUUAAUGCUCUCGACGCGUAGUAGAUCGCGUGUGGCGCAUUUCCAAUUCUUUGCCCCAAAACGGCCCCCACAGCAUAGUCAUUCGUGUCGCACAUGAUUUCAAACGGAAGGCUCCAAUUUGGGGGUUGAAUGACAGGCGGCGAUGUCAACGACUCCUUCAAUUUAUCAAAAGUCACCUUACAUUCAUUUGUGAAAUCAAAUGGCACGUCCUUCUGCAGUAACUUGAACAAGGGUGCUCCUAUUUUUGAAAAGUCUUUGAUAAAUCUCCUGUAAAAACCUGCAUGGUCAAAAAACGAACGCACUUUCCGUACACAUACGGGGUAAGGUAGAGCAGAAAUAAGGUCUAUUUUAGCUUUAUCUAUCUCUAUUCCCUUAGCCGACACAACGUGCCCUAAGACAAUACCAUGAUCUACCAUAAAGUGACACUUCUCCCAGUUGAGCACCAAAUUCGUCUGUAUACAUCUUUUCAGAAUUAAAGCCAAAUUCUCAAGGCAUUCAUCAAAACUGUCCCCGUACACACUAAAAUCAUCCAUGAACAUCUCAAUUAUUUUUUUCAUAUAUUCUGAGAAAAUACUUACCAUGCACCUUUGAAACGUUGCUGGAGCAUUGCAGAGACCGAAAGGCGUCCUGCAAUAAGCGAAUGUACCGAACGGACAUGUGAAUGUAGUCUUUUCCUGGUCUUCUGGUACUAUCGCGAUCUGAAAGUACCCUGAAAAUCCAUCCAAGAAACAAUAGUAAACAUGACCCACCAAUCGUUCAACCAUCUGAUCAAUAAAAGGGAGGGAAAAAUGGUUCUUUUUAAUCACAGAAUUUAGCCUCCGGUAGUCGAUGCACUGACGCCAGCCAGUAGCUUUCCUGACCGGGACCAUAUCACCCUCCUGGUUCUCCUCUACGGUCACUCCCGCCUUCUUCGGGACCACUUGGACAGGACUCACCCACGGACUAUCCGAGAUAGCAAAAAUGAUCCCCACCUCUAGGAGCUUGAGUAUCUCCUUUUUCACAACUUCCAUCAUCAGGGGGUUCAAUCUUCGCUGUGCUUGCCUCACUGGAUUUGCAUCAUCCUCGAGUCUUAUCCGGUGCAUGCAUAAGGACGGGUUGAUCCCUUUAAUAUCGGCUAUGCUCCACCCAAUUGCCUCCUUAUGCUCCCUAAGGAUUCGCACCAGUUUGUCCUCUUAACUUGGAGAUAGGUGUGCAGAAAUGAUCACCGAAAGUGUCUCCCGAUCUCCUAGGAAUGCAUACUUUAGAUGCUUCGGGAGAGGUUUUAAUUCUAAUUCCGAUGCCUGCACAACUGAAUGAAGUAACUUUGUCUGAGCUUCUGGCACAAAAAGAGAAGUCUGCUCAUACCUUGGGGAUACAGGUGGAAGUGAGUGUAAGGCUUCAACAGCAUGGAGUAAAUCUUCCCUUAGGUCCACAUCAAGAGUUACACCCAACUCCAGAUGCUUGAUUAGAGCCACUUCCAAUGCGUCUUUACCAUCUAACUCGAAAGUUUCCUGCACAAAAGGCUCAAUAACGCUCAAAACAAAGACCGAGUUAGGUUCUUCUGGAUAUUUCAUCGCCUCAAAAAUAUUAAAAUUCACAGUUUCACCAUCAAAUUCCAUUGACAAAAUACCCUCAUUCACAUCUAUCUUAGUCCUGGCAGUGCUAAGGAACGGUCUACCUAACAAGAUAGGUGACGGGUUUAAUGAUUUUUCAUCUCCCAUGUCCAAAAUAUAAAAAUCUGCAGGAAAGACUAAUUCAUUUACCUGAACCAGAACAUCCUCAACUAGCCCCUCUGGAUAAGCAUUUGUGCGAUCAACUAGUUGGAUUAUGAUGGCUGUUUCCUUAAGUGGCCCAAGAUUUAGAGAAGUAAAAAUGGUUUUUGGCAUCACAUUGAUUGACGCUCCUAAAUCCAACAUUGCAUUUCUAAUUGGUGUAUUUCCUAUUUUGCACGGGAUCGUGAACAUACCUGGAUCUCUACACUUGGGUGGGAGCUUCCUUUGGAGCAUGGCUGAUACAUUCUCUCCCACCGCUACUCUUUCGUCCCCUCUCAAUUUCCUUUUAUGGGUGCAUAGAUCUUUGAAAAAUUUCGCGUACUUCGGCACCUGCUUAAUUGCUUCCAACAAGGGGAUGUUGAUCUCCACUUUUCUGAACACGUCCAGGAUCUCUUUCUCCUUCUCUGCCUUCUUCUUCUUCGCCAAUCUGCAUGGAAAAGGGGGUAAAGUAGAUUUAACGGGUAAUGAUGGUGUAAGCGUUACCUCAGGACCUCCACGAAUGUGUCCUUCUUCCUCUAUCUCCUUCUCAAUCUUGUCUUCGCUUUUACUUUUCAAGUCCGUGACCUUUGGCCCCUCCACUUCCUUGCCACUCCUUAAUGUCAUGGCACUUACAUUUCUGAAAUUUACCUCAGGUUGCGAUGGCAAUUUCCCAUAAACGUGGGACUCCAGGCGAUUUAUGGCGGUUGCCAUUUGGCUCAUGCGAGUCUUCAUGUCUUUCAUGCCUGCCUUGGUGUCCUGUUGGAAUUGGGUGGCGCUCGCGACUAAGGUCCUAGUCUCCUGCUGGAGCUGAGUGGUAGCAGUGGCCAAACUCUUGACAAUCUCCUCCAAAGAACUUCCUAAAUUUGAGGACGAGGGUUGGGACUUCUGUUGCCAAGGUUGCUGAAAUCCUGGUGGACGAUUGGAGAAUGCAUUUUGUGGCCUAUUACCAUAGCUGAAAUUGGAGUGAUCUCUCCAACCCGAAUUGUAUGUGUUGGAGUAUGGAUCGUACUGCCUACGAGGCGCGGGUACACCUCCAGCCAUGUUCACUUGUUCAGCCCCAUCCUCUUGCAACAUAGGGCAUGAGUCAGUAUGGUGACUCAUAUUUGUGCAGAUUCCACAGGCCUUUACUUGGGGCACAUUUCCCACCACUAAUUGUCGAACAACGGAUGUUAAUUCCGACAAUUGUUGCUGAAUAGAUGUCGACUCCACCUCAUUAACCCUACGGGUAGGGUUACUCUUACGGAAGCCAAACUGUUGAGAAUUCUCUAUCAUAACUUCAAUGAGCAGCCAUGCUUCCCUCGGGGUCUUAUUUGCCAGUGCUCCCCCACUCGCAGCGUCGAUGAUACUCCUAUCAGUUGAUUGGAGUCCUUCAUAGAAGUAUUGGAUUAACAGUUGUUCACUAAUUUGAUGCUGCGGGCAUCUAAUGCACAACUUGUUAAACCUUACCGAAUAGUCAUACAAGGAUUCCCCGGGAUACUGUUUAAUGCUGCAGAUUUUCUUCCUCAAACUCGCAACCCGGGAUGCAGGGAAGAAUUUUUCCAAAAACUUCUUUUUCAACUGUGCCCAUGUGGUAAUACUACCUGCUGGUAGGUAGUACAGCCAAUCUUUAGCUGCAUUCUUGAGAGAGAACGGAAAGGCUCUCAGUCUAAUUUGCUCUUCAGUGACCCCAGGAGGUUUUAUACUAGAGCAAACCACCUCGAACUCCUUGACGUGCUUGUGGGGUUCUUCGUCAGAGAGACCAUGGAAAAAAGGUAGGAGGUGAAUCAACUCCGACUUCAGUUCGAAAGCAGUAUUCUCAGUCAGAGUGAGGAAUGUGAUGCAUAAGGGCUGGUGAGUCGGUUUCGGGGCGGCCAGCUCCCUUAAUGUUUGAGUGUUGGUCAUGCUUAUUUCAUCUUCUACCGACUCGUUUGCAAUAAAUAAGUGCCCUUCUUUUCGCCUCUUGGUCUCUUGCCUCCGCCUAUGCGCUACCUUCUCAACCUCAAGAUCGUAUACCAAUUCACCUGUGCGAGAAGAACGGGGCAUAAACUAGCAAAAAUACCAAGAAGAAUAGAAUAAAAUAAAAAAUUGAAUUUGAAAAGAAACAAAUAAUCCAAACGCCAGCUCCCCGGCAACGGCGCCAAAAAUUGACAUGUGCCGAACCUGUGCAAUAAUAAUUAUUAAAAAGUCUUAAUUACCACCACAAUUAAUUAUAGAACAAAUUCAAGUAGUGGAGCAGAGACCCUAGGUGUGCAAUGGGUUACUUGAUUCACCAUAUUCCCGAAGAGUUUGCUUGAUCCGAUAUACCAGAUUAGUCUAUAAAAAUAUUAAUUUUGUGAACAAUGGCAAGUAGGGUCGAUUCCACAGGGAGCGGGUAGGAAAUUAUUUCUUUCCAAAUUAGUAGAACGAAAAUGGGGGAUUUUCAAUGAGAGGCAAAUAAAAAUGAAAUAAAACCAACAAAAUUCAAAACUAAUUCACAAAACACAAUUCACUAAAAGUAGCAAUUAAUAAAAUUCCACCCAAAGGAUCAACUGGUCAGGCACGGUCCAAUUAAAUGCUCAUCGAUGCAAAGGUAUUUCAUCCAUUCAUCACCAGAUUGGUUAUAGCUGUCAACAAGCUCUGACAACCAGUUCUUCCUUACUUUUUCGACAGUCAAGGUACGACCAUUGACUGCUUCUCUAACCAGAUAACAACCCUAAGUACGACCGUAGGAAUUUAAUUACCCAAUUGCAUUAAAACUAGAAGAACCCAACCCUAACCAAUAAACACGCUAAGAGGGUUUAUUUAAAUCAGAUCUUGCGUUUUCCUAUCAUAAAACCAAUUAUGGUGGUUGCCACGAGGUGUUAACUAAAUGAACAAUUACGGAUUCUAUUUAAUUAACGUGGCAGUAGGCUAUUAAAUUAAAUCAAAUACCCGACCGUUGAUAUUCAAUUAAUAAAAUACCCAUGAACAAUUAAUUCAGGAAACGCAUGAAUAGCAAUAAAUUGGAAGAAAUAAUGAAAAUUCGAUUAGAUCUUACAAAUAUUAUGGACCGUGCCUUCGCGUCAACCUUUGGGUGGAGGAGAAAAUUAGCCGCUCCUCAUCGUGUCAAUCCUGCAUGAUUUAAUUGAAGUCAUUCAAUUAUUCGCCGAAGAAUUGGGGAAUGGGGAAUUAAUUGCAGUAACAACAGAGAAGGCCCUGCCUUCGUCUUUGAUCCGGAGCCGCAAGUGUACGAACAAAAGCUAACGUAAAUUGUGCAGAGUCAAAACAAAAGCCAAGGAGUCAAAGUGUCACAACCGAAAAGUUACAAAAGUCUGCAAUUGCCUGACCCUCUCGAAAAGAAAAUCAAAGCUAAUCUAUUCUUCUCUGCAGUUGCUGCUGAAGAAGAAAACAAAAAGCCAAGAAAGGUGUCUGACCCAAAAUUGCAGAAAAGUAAAACUAAGCUUAAAGUAGUGAUAAUCCCUGAAUCCUGCUUUUUCCUCCUUUUUAUAGCCGCCGCCCAAGAGAAGUAAAGAAAAAGACGUCUGGAGCAAUUCAUCUAACAAAAGCUAUCCCCUUUGGAGUUUUGAUCCCACGCUUCGAGUUCACGUGGACCGGGGUCCGGCUUUUCGGUAACGUCUAUCUUUUAAGGCGUGGCCACGCUCUGAGACGAAGGGUCUUCUGGAAAUUUGCCUCCAGAGAUCAUUUUUAAUGCCGACCACCUUUAAUUCGUACAAAUAUGAAAUAUAAGUUAAACCUCAGUACUUAGCACAGUAAUAGCCAAAAUUAGGGCAAAAUAAUACUGCAAAACGUGCCAAAUAACGGCUCUAUCAACCAUGUUUAUGUUUUUUAAAUAAUUAGAUAAAUCACUAAUGUUAGAGGAAAAUGUUGUCUCCAGGUCUUGCAUUAUAUGGCGGGAUAUACACCUUUUUGUUUGAUUAAUUUUUAUGAACUACAAAAAAGUCACUUUUUAUGCAACUAAUUUUUUGUUCAAUUAUUUUCACUAAGUUUUGGGUCACAAUUUGACUAUUUGUUCCGUUAAGGACAUGGAUUUGACAUCAUAAUAAUAAUUUAAAAUAUUAAUAUAAGAAUGUGACGGACAAUAAAAACUUUAUAAGGACAUAAUUUUCAUAUAUGUAAAUUUCGAAGAAAGAAUAGGAAGAAAUUAUAAGGGAGAAAGCAUUGGAAGAAAUUAACUAACCAAAUUGUGAAUGAGUUUGAGUCCAGAACUCCAGAUGAAAUAGUAAACUGUUUUUGUCCACUUAUCUCUUUUAUUGCAAGCAGGGUAGUGGGAGAAAAUUGUGGAUAAUUAACAUAGAGGCCUUUUUUUCAUACUUUUAAAUCCUAUUACUGAUUUCGAAGCCGGGCUCAAUUCAAUGUUUUUUCCUGCUACUCCAUUCUUUUUCUUUGGUAGGACUAAGUUUAAAGAUUUAAUUUAAUUAUAUUAUUUUUUAAAGGGAAAAAAAGGAAUGACAUGUAUUACAUUUUUGUAUAAUUAAUUUAAUUAUGAAUUUUGUGGAAGAAGCGAAGUUUAAAAGUGGCGUGUUUAUAUUAUUGAAUUCGUUUAUCCUGUGAAGUUGAAGUACUAAGGGUCUGUUUGAUAACAUAAAAAAGUGCUGAAUCUGAAUUUUUUCAAACAUUCAGAUAUUUUGGAUGUUUGAUAAAUGAAAAUCCAUUUGCUGAACUUAUUAAAUAGUGCUGAACUUGUGUGUAUUUUUUUCAGCACAAAAAUCUUAGCUGAAUGCUUAAUUCUGAUAAGAAUCAAUAGAAUUACUUCAACUACCUUAUCUUAUCUACCAAAUCUACUCUUGUUUAUUAAUUAUGUUCAAAAUUCUUAUAUAAUUAAACAACCUAUUAUUCUUUAUCUAAUAAUUUUCUAUUUCUCUUUUCUCACUUUUGAAUGACUUUCACUUCUUCUCCAUACUCCUCAUAUAAUAUAAUUCAUCUUUUAUAUUAAUUUGAUUUAAAAAUAAAUAUUGUCAUUUUCAUACCUAACAUUUUUAACUAAUUAAAUCAUAGGUUCUAUUUCUUUUUUGGAUGAAAAGAUAUAAGGGCAAAAUUGUCAAAUUUAACUUAUUAAACAUUUAGUUAUAAAUGUUUAUCAAACGGCAUACAUAGGUUUAGCAUUAAAAUUUAGAUAUUCAUAUAUUUCUUUUUAGUGCUUAAAAUUCAGUAAAUUAAUUGUUUCAGUAUUCAGAUUUCAGAAUUCAGACUUCAAAAUUCAGAAUCAGUUUUAUCAAACGAAACUUAAGUCUUACUACACAGAAAUGAAAUCUAAUAAAAAGGAUGUGAAUAUUGAAUACAAAUUCUGAUGAAUGGUAUAUAAUAAUGUGAAUCUUUUGUUUUGUAGAACAAAAAUGGAAGGUAGCGAAGGCAUGUAUGGAAGACAAUCAAUGUUGAAUUUAAAUGAAUAUCCAAAAGACCCAUAUGUAUAUGUGGAAGAAAAUGGCAAUAGAAAGACUGUGGGCUAAGAAAUUGAGCCAUCACCAAAUUAUGGCUUUAUUUGGAUGGAGUAUCAUUCCAAAUAAUUAUUGUAGCACUUUUUGUGAUGUAAUGUAUAUGAGAUAAAAAAGUGAUUAAAAAUAUAAAAAAUGAAUUAGAAAGUAUGUUUAUGAUGUAAGCAAAAUUUUUUUUUGAAAAAAUUUACUAUUCAAACAUAGUUCUAUGGUUUUGCAACUGGCAACAUAAAUAACUCAAGCCAAAAGUUCUAUGGUUUCCAUUUUGACCCUCAAGAUCAGCAAGCGAACGUAGGCAGGGGAAUGAAUGAUGGCAACAGUCUAAUGCAUGGAGUUUGACUAUAGGAAUAGUGGCCCUAGCAUUGGAAAGGAAUAAACACCAAGCACAAGCCUAUGGGAGAUUAAUUGAUGUUUCAAAAUUUGGGAUCCCACCGCAAAUUAGCAUCUGGCGGGAAGUGAAAGUGCGGCAAUUGUGAAAUUUAUUCCUAGUUUGAACUUUGAAGUAGAACACAAGCCCAUGCAUUUGCAAAAUUUUUUCCCCUAGUGAAUUGUACACGUUUCGAUUUCGUCCAUUUCAUCAAUUUGUGCCCCUUAUAUUACUUUUAUUACAAUCUACAAACAUUAAUGCAAUAUCUUCUAUAUAAUAAUUUAUUCAAACAACUAUAUAAACUAUGUUAACUACAUAUUAAUAAAAUAAUAGAAUUUUGGCUUUAUUUGCUAUAACUAAUAAAAAAAAUUAUGUUUUGGACUAAUCUAAGUUAAUCAUAUACCAUCAUUUUGGACUGAUAUCAUGAUACAAUUAACAUUUUACCAAUGAAUAUAAAUGACUUGUUAUAAAUGACUAUUCAUUUAUAUUGUAAAUGACUAUUUUAUUCUUAUUUUAACAAAUAAAAUAAUAACCACUUGUUAUUAUUUUUCUCAAGCUCAACUAGGCUUGAACUCAAGAUCGAUGUUGAACUUGAGUUUUAAAAUAAAAGCUCAUGGAGUUUGGGAUCGUGCUGGAAGUCAAGAAAAUUGAGUCGAUUCAACCCAUUUUGCAAUCCUAUAAAUGAUAACCUUUUCAUUAAAUCUAUAUGUUUUUUGUAAAUUUAAUAUUAAUAUAUGUAAUCAAAAAGUGAUUGGAAAAAAAAUUAAGUUUUAGACUAAUCUAAGUUAAUCAUAUACCAUGAUUUUGGAUCGAUAUCGUCAUACAAUUAGCAAAGCUAAAUUUUUUUUUAUCUAUUUACCCAUGUUAAAGAAAUAAAUAACAUUUUCUCUAAAACCCACACUUGCAAAUACAAAAUUUAUGUGUUGGAAUACUUUGGCCUUGACAAUUAAAAUUUACUUUUUUGGACUAAUUUACCCCUAUUAUUGAUAGAAUUAAAAGUAGAUCUGCAAAAAGCAAUUUUGGUCUAUAAGUAAGUAAGUUCAUCUCAUCCUAUUCGUGACGAAACACAAGGAACCUAGUUUUUUUAUUAAACUAAAUAUCUAACAUAAAAUCAACCAAAUGUUUGACAACAAGAUUACUCAUCCGAAGAUAAGUAACCACCUCUCAUUUCAUGAAGAGUUCGUUUGGUCCAUCGGAUCAUAUGAUAAUUUGGAGUUAUUUACUUCUAUUACUAUAAUGACAUUUUAUUCUAGCAAGUGCAUCAAGUCUACUAUUUCUCUAUAACAUAAUCUAAUUUGUGAACUAAUUUCACCAUGACUAUAAAUGACUAUCAAGCUAAAGUUGAUAUUAUUUUCUAAAACUUCCUAGAUGACAUAAAACAUUCGAAACUCGAACUUAUAAAUGAAUAUAUUUUAACAAAUUUACGUUAUAAAUGACUAUUUUAUUCUUAUUUUAACAAAUAAAAUAAUAACUACUUGUUAUUAUUUCUCUCAAGCUCAACUAGGUUCGAACUCGAGAUCGAUGUUGAGCUCUAGUUUUACAAUCAAAACUAAUGGAGCUCGGGAUCGUGCUGGAAGUCGAGAAAAUUGAAUCGAUUCAACUCAUUUUACAAUCCUAUAAAUGAUAACCUUUUCAUUAAAUCUAUAUGUUUUUUGUAAAUUUAAUAUUAAUAUAUGUAAUCAAAAAAUGAAUGAAAAAAAAAUUAAGCUUUAGACGAAUCUAUGUUAAUCAUAUACCAUGGUUUUGGACCGAUGUGGUCAUACAACUAACAAAAUUAAACUUUUUAUGCAUUUACCCAUUUUAAAGAAAAAUAUAAUGUUUUCUCUGAAUCCCACUCCUACGAAUACAAAAUUUAUGUGUUGGAAUACAUUGGCCAUGACAAUUAAACUUUACUUUUUUGGACUAAUUUACCCCUAUUAUUGAUAGAAUUAAUAGUAGAUUUGCCCAAAAGCAAUUUUGGUCUAUAAGUAAGUAAAUACAUCUCAUCCUAUUCCUGAUGAAACACAAGGAACUUGGUUUUCUGUUAAACUAAACAUCUAAAGUAAAACUAACCAAACGCUUGACAACUAGAUUACUCAUCCGAAGAUAAGUAACCACCUCUCAUUUCAUGAAGAGUUCGUUUGGUCCAUUAGAUCAUAUGAUAAUUUGGGGUUAUUUACUUCUAUUACUAUAAUGACAUUUUAUUCUAACAACUACAUUGACUCUAUUAUUUUCCUAUAAUAUAAUCUAAUUUGUGAACUAAUUUGACCAUGACUAUAAAUGACUAUCAAGUUAAAGUUGAUGUUAUUUUCUAAAACUUCCUAGGUAGCAUAAAACAUUCGAAACUCGAAGUUAUAAAUGAAUAUAUUUAACAAAUUGAUGUUAUAAAUGACUAUUUUAUUCUUAUUUUAUAAAUGACUAUUUUACCAAUGACUUGUUAUAAAUGACUAUUCAUUUAUGUUAUAAAUUACUAUUUUAUUAUUAUUUUAAUAAAUAAAAUAAUUACCACUUAUUAUUAUUUUUUCUCGAACUCAAUUAAGCUCGAACUUGAAAUUGAUGAUAUUAAAUUAGAGUUUUACAAUGAAAGCUUGCGGAGAGCUCAGGAUCGCGCUGGAAGUCAAAGAAAAUUGAGUCAAUUCAUCUCAUUGUUCAUUCUUGAUAAUGCAUAUUUUUCAUCUGGUGAUGUCCCUAAUCCCUCUGAUAAUGUGUCAAGAAGAAUCCCUCGAUUGCAUCUCAGACGCUUUUGAUGUCUCUAAGGUGCAUCAUAUUAUAUUGAACAACUAGUACUCUUCUUUACUUUUCACCCCAUGUCCUAUUGCUGAGUUUUUGGCUAUAUUAGUUGACAAGUUUUAAUCUGACUUCUUCUUCUAUAUUUUAUUAAUUCCCACACCACUUGUACAAUUUUGAUACUAGACUGUAGAGGCGUCCAAUAGAAUAUCUGUGCCAAUAGUAAAGCUGACGCUGGCCAGAAGGCUGCCACCUUGAUUCUCAUUUUCUUUGCAAUCUCGAGUACCCAUCCCAUUGUCUCAUCAGCAAUAAUGCAUGUGAUUUUGUCACCAUCUGGGAUUGACACCAGUUGCAUUACAGUUGGUGCAUUGUCCUCUUGUGAUAAUGACUAGAGGUAUCUCGGCUGUGCGAGGCACAGCCUUGGCUCCUUUCAUAACUUAAUUGAACAUAUAACAGCAAAACUUUUUGGUACAUAAUAAACAAAAACAUGAGAAAAAUUGAGCAUCAGAAGAAAUUCCAUCUAUGAAGUUAGCUCUUAUAAAUCAAGGAGACAAUAAACAUAGCAUCUAUUAAAUCCAUAACUGAUCUUGAAGUUAAUGAAGGCAAGCAAUGAAACAGGUGCACAGUUGAAUACAAUUGGGAAGGAAGAAAUCUGAUUUUUCUGUGCAACUUUUAGAAACAAUUUAUAAAGAAAUAGAAAAAGAGACUUUAAUUGAUUACAUAAAGGAGCUGUUUAAAUGUAAUAGUUGGUUAGCUACUAAUCAAACAUAAUUAAUCAAUAUCCAAGGAUUAAAAGUUUUUCAUUAAUCUAUAAAGCUUGAUUUUAUAGUCAUAAAUUAGACAAUAUAUAAAAACAAUACAAGUUCUUGUAGUUAUGCAAAAUGACUUGCAAUUGAAAUCUUUUGUCUUAUCCUGUAUGGUAUAUCUUUUGUCUUGAUCCAUCAAGAUAGAAGUAGGGAGAUAAAAAAUAGGAGAAAAAUCAUAGAUUUUUCGAAGGAGAGUUAUGUCAUGUGUCAAGAAAUGGGAGUGCUACAUUAAAUUCCCAUGUCUUCUUAUAUAAUAUGUAGACAAUUAGAACAGAAUGAAAAUUGAUCCAAGGGUUGUAAUGUAGUAUUAGUAUAUUAAAACUAAUCUAAUGGUGAUGAAUUAGACAGUACACUCACUUAAUGAAAUAAUUAAGGUUUAAAAAAUUCAUUGGGCUUAGAAGGGGAAUAAAAGAGCCAGACUUGCUCGGUUUGGCAUGAAGAAAGAGCAGAAAAAAAAAACCGAUAUGCAAGUGGCAAGAAAAACCAUGUACAAGAAAAAUAUUAGAGUUAUGCAACUUGUCAAAUUAUUAGGAGGCCAAGUGGCAUCAAGGGAGGCAAAGAACUAAACCUCCCUUUCUUCUUAUAUAUAAGGUAGAAAAGACAAAUGUUCACAUAUCAAUAAAUUAAAAUAAAAUUGAUUCGAAAGUGUAUAUUCUAUUAGUUGGCUAUUUCAGUUUUGCAUUUAUAAGAAAUUGGAACCAUUUUUUUUUUAUCAGUUUCCCACUUUGAAGAUAUCUCUUUCUUUUCCUCCGAGUUCAAAAAUAGCCAAGAUUUGAUUAAGAAAGUUUAAAUAUUUUUUUAGCAUGUAGAUUAAAAUAAUAAAAUUCUUGCUAUCAGAUUUGGAUAUUUCUUUUAAUUUUUGAAAAUGUGACAAUUUUUCUAUCAUUUUUUGACGGCUUCUAAAAUAGCAAAAGUUAUAUUAACAACGUAGCAAAAAAAUAAAAAAUAUAAACUUAAAAAAAGACGAAUAGAAUUUUAUGAUUUUUAAUAAAGUCAAGUUAAUCUGUGAAAUAUAAGUUUAAAUGAUAUUUCAAAUCAUAAUAAAUGUAUAAAUUCAAAUAAUGAUAAUGAUAAUAAUAUUAUAAUUGGAUUACAUCUGUCCAAGACCUAGAGCUUAAAAUCAAUUUUAAUUUUUUUUUUGUUUUUGAAAAUACGAUGAUCUGAAAAAUACUCUCUCAAAUUGACAUCAUGAUAAAUAUAAAUUGAAAUAAUGAUAAUAAUAAUAAUAAUAAUUUGUAAUUGAAUUACAUCUAUCAAAAGCUUACAAAUUGAAAAAUCCAAUAAAAAUAAUUGGACCUCAUACUUGAAUGUCAAUGCCAGACCAAAUUUGGUCAUUGUGCAAUGCAGUCCAAUCUAUCUAUCCACCAUUGCCUAUAAAAAGAAAAGGAAAGAAUGAAAGCUCAAAAAUUCACCAAGAGUGGCAUGUGUCAACGAGAUAGCAUGCUACAGUAACAGUGCAAUGGCAAAAGAAAGAAAAGAAAUAGAAGGCUUCGGACAAGAGAAGCUUUAGAUUUAGACAAUUUACAAAAAACAUUUUACCUUGCAAGAAACAUUUUACCUUGCCACUUGUCAGAUAAUUAAGAAGCCAUGUGGCAAGAGAAAAGGAAAAUACUAAACCUUGCUCUUUUCUUAUAUACAAGGUAGAUUUGACAACUCUCUUGUGAUCGAAUUCUGUGUUUACGAAUGUAACUCAAAUACCCUGCCUGGCUAAGCACAUAAGGCCAGUUCCAUUAGGAGAAGUACUCAUCACUUGUUGUGAGUAUCAAAAAUUAAUUAUUAGAGACCCGCCAACUUUACCGUCUGGUUCUUCAACAGAGUAUUUUUGAUGAUUUUCACAGUAGCCUUAGAUAUUGAUAUUCAUAGAUGUAGUAAUACAAAAUAAAAGAUCAUUAUUCAUUAAUACAAUCAAAUUGAUCUUCUUCAAAAAAAAUAUAUUUUUUUGCAACUCUUUUUUUUUUAAAAAAAAAAGUGGAAGAACUUGAACCCGAAAUCUCGCACUUACACUCCUUCCCUUCAAAUAUUAUGAUGCACAAAGCUUCCUUUUAAGCAAACAUAUUUAUAAAGAGUUUUAAAAAAUUAUAACUUCAACUUGCAUGAAUUACUUAUGAUGCUUAAUAGCAAGACAAUAGCUAAUGUCGUUUAUUGAGUUGGAUUUUUGCUUCCGCAAUAUCGUUUAUUUCUUCUCUCAAUUCAGUCCCCCAAACAGUCUCUUUCCCAGAUUUCACCUACUAAUUAACUAGUUAGUGUUCUUUUAAUUCAUUCGACUUUGGGUUGUAAACAUUUUUGUUACCAUUAUCACGCAAUCGUUAUUUGUGGAAUGCAUAAACCUCUUGGGAGUUCCCUAAUCGCACCAGCUGAUGACAGAAAAAUAAGUAGGCCUAUCAUUUAGGCUUUUCUAGUAGGACUUCUUGAAGGUGGACUUGUUCCCAUCACAGAAGAUCACAUCUCGGCCGGAAUUUAGUAUAUUUCUGUAUCACUGUCAAGGCCCAAAAUUAGUUCUAUGAAACACUUUUCAACCUAUAUAGUAAAAGCGUGAAUGGGUUCGGUGGUUGCUGUGCUAAUGUGGAUGUAUUUUAUUGGGUGGAAUUUGGUCGUCAAUCACGUGCGCCUCGCGUGCUUACAUUCGUUCUUCGCUCGGAGGAGAAGUAUAAUUCUUGCUUUUGUCUGCUGGGAGGAGGAGUAGAAUUGGUGCUUUUGUCCGAUAGAAGAAAAUGAGCACCAGCUGACCAGCUGAUUGAACUUAUGGCGGUCGAUGAUGGCUUGAUUGAUGACAGGUGUUGGGUGAUGGGCUCAAUGUGGGUUUGCAUGCUUUUACGAUUUCGCCCUUCUUUAAAAAAAAAAACAAGUUCACCGCUUUCUGUUUCUGAGCUUCUUACUUUCCUUUAUCCUUUGUUCAAAUGGGGUUUCGCCUCCGUUCAAGAGAGAUGGCAAAAAAACCCUUUUUGCUCUUCUUUUUUUGAUUGAGAGCACUGAAACCUCUUUCUCUCUCCGUUUGCCUGAGAGAAGAGCGCUCUCUGCCUUCUCUUCCCGAGGACAACCCCAAAUCUCUUUCCUUUGAUUGAAAGGACUGAAACCUCUUUGUUCCUCCAAUGUAUGCAGAGGUAUCUAUGCUACUGGUGCCGCCUUUUCCCCGAGGCAUCAUCAUGGUCCGCGGUAAGUGUGCCUCAUGCUGAUUGUUCUUUCCUUGCCCUUCCUCUGUCCUCUUGUAUGUGCUGCGUUAUUAGCUCGUUUCUUUCUGUUCCCUUCUUUUCUUCCUCGGAUCAGCUGUCUUACUGGCUUCUUGUGUCAAGCUUACUUCUUACUUCCCCUGUUAUUGUUAGCUUUUUGCCUCCUGGUGAGCUUGCUGUCUGCAUUGGCGUGUUUAUUUGAUUUUCUUCCCUCAAUUUUAUGCCCUGGUUUGCUGUUACUGUUGCAUUUUCUGCUUGCUUUGCUUUACUCCUCAUUUUGCUGUUCCUGCCGACGCUUUUGCUUUCCUGCCAACAUUUUUUUACCUGCGUGCUUCGUUUCCGUCCUGUCAACUGUACUUACGGCCCUUUUUCCUUUGUAGCUCCUGUUCUGCCGUGCUUACCUCGUUCAGGUUUGCUUUCCCCACCUUCUGUUUUAUACUUUCUGUCCAUUUCUCAUUGAUUCUCUUAUACCUUUUUCCCUUUUGAUCUCUGCUGCGUAUUAUACCGCAUUUACCCUUUCUCCUUGUCUCUUCUUAAUCUUUUCCCGCCCCUCGUUGGUUUGUUUGGUGCAGGGACAGGUUCUGCCCUCUUUUCUGCUGCUCUACUGUUGGCUGAAUACGCCUUGUUGUGUCUAUCUAACGUUAAGGUAACAUUCCUUGUUCUCUCUUCUACAAAUGCUUAGCUUUUUUGCCUUGCCUGUUAGCUUGCUUCUGCCCACUACCCAUUUGCUUCAUGCUUUCUGCUGCGUCACUUUUUAAAUAUUAUUUUUUGCCUUGCCUGUUAGCUUGCUUCUGCCUACUAACCAUUUGCUUCAUGCUUUCUGCUGCGCCACUUUUAAAAUAUUACAAAGGUAUUCUCAACCAUUUACCUUCUUUAUUCUUAUCUGCUUGGUUUCAUGUAGCUGCCAAAGAACUUUACUUUGCCUUUUCUUUGCUCUGAUUCCCCCCCACCCCCCAAUAAGAAAUAUUUGUUGUGUGCCUUUGUUGUGGCAUUUCUUUACGUUAACCUUUUUUGCUUCAGCUUUAGCCUCCUUUGUGCUUAUUUUGUCGGCUCUAUGCCUGUGCAUUACAUUGAUGCGCUAGCCUUCCUUUCACCUUCUAAGGUAUGUAGUUAUUAGAUCGAAAAAGUGCUCGCUUCAGUGGUGCUGUAUAAGGACUUUGCUUUAGCUUUAAUUUCCUCUGUCUUUUUUCUCCUUUGAUAGUAGGCACUUAAUGCAUACCUUUGUUAUGGCAUUCCUUUAUGUUGGCCUCUUUUCUCCUAAACUUUGGCCUCUGUUGUGCUUAUUUUGUCGGCCCUAUGAUAGUGCAUUAGAGAUGUGUGUGAACCUCUCUUUCGCCUACUAACACAUGUAUUAAUCAAACGGAUUGAAUGCUCAGCUAAGUGGUGCUGCAUAUAAACUUUUCUUUGGCUUCUCUUUCCUCUGUUUUUCCCCCCCUUGAUGACAGCCAUUUAGCGCGCCUUUGUUAUGCCAUUUCUUUAUGCUUGCCUUUUCCCUUGAGCUUAACCCUCCUUAGUGCUUAUUUUUCGCAGUCCUAUAGUAGUGCAUUAGGGGUAUGUGUUAGCUUUUCUUUCAACUACUGAGGUGUGUAGUAAUCAGAUGGAUAGAAAUGCUAUGCGCCGCAAAAAAUAUGGCGAAAUGUCUCCUACAAAGAAAGCCGACCUCCUGCGCUCUCGGAGAGAAGCGAGAGCAGCAAAGAGAGCUGAAAAACCUUUACCUGUUCGCGUUCGCAAGGUUCCUUUAGGCUAUGUGGAAUCUGGUGUGUCGUUGCCAAAUGCUCGUUGUAUGCCUUGCCGUGGUGCAGAUCAGACGUCUGUUCAUUCUCAAUCGUUGGGGAACACAGAUGUUGUGUUUCCCGCUGAUAAUGUCCUUGCGACUGGUGAAGGAUUAGAAUUCAUGUCCGGGCAACUGCUUAGUCCCUUUGGUUCUUCUUCUUCUUCCUCCUUUAACAGAACAAUUCCUGUCCAUAAGCCGCCUCCUGCUGCAGGUAUAUCAACAUUUCUCAUCGUCCGAUCCCUAGGACUGUUUAGCUCCCCCCUCUGAAGCGCCGUUAAACCUUAUUCAUCUCUAUUGGCUGACAUUCCUUCCUUGUACCUCUCAAAUCAAAUCUGCCUCUGUUCGUAACUGCAGACCUUCCGUUCCAUCAUAGCCUUGCGCCGGUAAAAUAUCAAAGGUCGUCUAAUGGUGCGGACCCAACAAAAAUCCCUGUUCAUUCUACUGAUUGCCAAGUCAGUGCUGGAUCAAGUAAAGGAGUCCCUAAGAACAUACUACCCUUUUCCCCUGAAAAUGAACACUUCAUGAACAAUGAACAUUCUGAAAUUAUGCUUGGCUUGUUCUCCUUGAAUUCAACUCUUAUCAACUCUGAACAACCAGUCCAGAAACAUCUUCCUUGUGAAAGUAAUUCUUUCACUACUCCAUUUUCAGAUUCUGUUUUACCCCCUCCUGGCACAGGUACUGCCUUACCUUGGCAUAUUCAUUGUCUUUGUAUCAUUGCUGCACUGCUUCGACCAGGCUGUAAAAAAAUGAAUACUCAUCUUUAUAGCCUGGUUUCUGAGACCCUUUGCCCUUUCUCCGACGUGUCCCUUUAAGGGAUUUUGGGCUAUUUUUGAAUGCUUAUUUGGUCCUGGAAAGUAUGUCGUCGGUUGUGAACCAGCAACUGGUCAUUUGGAAAUAGGAAGCAGGGAAGCAAAUCCUUCUACUUCUCCAUCUUUUAGCCGACCUCGUAGCAGGAAACGCAAUGCUCCUGGAACUGUAGCCAACCAGAAAUCAGGUUGUCAUCAGUUUCUGAUCUCCCUUGGUCGUUGACUCCCUUAAACUCAGAUUUAUCUAUAUAUCCAUCCAGCGCUAAUAGAGACACUUGUAUGUAAAAAAUAAAACUGCAGCGAUAGAACGAACACCUUCAUCUUCGUAUCUAUCUCGUCUUGCCAAUAUUCCUUCUUCAUCUCUGGUUCUACCAGAUGCUCCUGAUUGUGAGCACUGUGGAGCGAAGAGGUUCCAUUUGGAGCCUCCUACAUUUUGCUGCUCGGGAGGAGAAAUCUCUAUCGUCGCUCCUUCAAUGCCUUACGAUCUGAAACGUUUGUUCAUUGGCAACGAUGAAGAGAGUGCUCAUUUCAGAAACAAUGUGCGCACUUAUAACAACAACCUGGGCUUCACAACCUUUGCUGCGAAGUAUGACUCUGACCUAACAAAGAACACAAAAGGUGUUUAUACCUUCCGUGUUCAGGGCCAGGUCUACCACUUCCUUGAUGGCCUUAUUCACUUGGGCGAUAGACCAUCUGGCAUCCAAUUAUAUUUCUUUGACACUGAUGAAGAAUUAGCAAAGAGGCUUGGUAACUCUGAUAAGCUGCGCGAACACACUUUAAGAUUACUUAUGCGCGUUCUUUCUAAUAAUCCUUAUACUCGCUUCUUUAAAAGCCUUAAGGAUGUUCCGAACAUUGACAACCUAAACAUUGUCCUUAAUUGUUAUCCUUCACUUGACCAGCGCGUGUAUAAUCUUCCCUCUGCCUCUCAAGUAGCAGCUAUAUGGACUGAAAGUGAAGAUCAGUCAUCUGAUAGGCGCGCUCAUAUUCGGGUCUAUUCUCGCUCAGCUGGUAGCCAUAGGAUCCAGCAUUAUUAUGGUUGUUAUGACCCUUUACAGUACCCUCUCCUUUUCCCCCGUGGUGAGUGUGGUUGGCACCAUGGAAUUAAGAGACUUCACAAAAGGAAAAGAGGAGGGGACUCCUGUGAAAGUGAUAUUACCCUUGAUCCAGCUUCAGUUAGAUCCUCAUCAGAAUUAAUAGAUUUAGAACAGAGAGGCGAGUACAUUUCUCCCUUGUUAUAAGUUACUCAAUCCAUCCGUUGCAUUAUAUCAUCUAAUCAUGUCCAACCUAUUUUUCGUCUUUUAGCUGCUGAUCGAGGCAAAACAGAGGCUGAUACUGUAUCAGUUAGGGAGUACUACUAUUAUAGGUUUCAAAUAAGGGACACUGAUGAGUCAAUGUUGUUACACACCCUUAGAUUGCUACAGCAGUUUUCGGUUGAUGGUUAUGUCAAGAUAGAAACAUCUAGGCUUGACUUCCAUAGACAUCGGCAAAACAAGAUACGCUCCGAAAUUCUUCAAGGAGUUCUUGAUAGUGUUUCGAUUGGCCAAACUGCUGGUUCUAAGGUUGGUCGUAAGGUCAUCUUGCCUGGUUCCUUUAUAGGUGGGCCGAGGGAUAUGCGUCGUCGCUACCUUGAUGCGAUGGCGCUGGUCCAAAAGUACGGAAAACCGGACAUUUUCCUUACAAUGACAUGUAAUCCAGCAUGGAAAGAGAUUCAAGAGAACUUGAAAUACCAUGAAAAACCUCAAGACAGGCCGGACCUUCUAGCCAGAGUUUUUAGAUCCAAGUUUGAAAUGCUUAAAGCAGAGAUCCUGAAUAGGCAAAUCUUUGGCGAAGUUGCAGCGUGUGUUUAUGUGAUCGAGUUUCAGAAACGGGGAUUUCCUCAUGCCCAUUUAUUAUUGAUCUUAAAGCCUGGUCAUAAGCUACUUAACCCGGAGUCAUAUGACAAAAUAGUUUGUGCUGAGCUGCCCGACAAAGAUCGCUAUCCUCACUUGUAUUCUCUCGUUAUCAAACAUAUGAUCCAUGGUCCUUGCGGGGCCAUGGAUAAAUCUUGCCCUUGCAUGAGAGACGGAACCUGCAAAAAUCGCUAUCCAAAAAACUUUUGUGCACAAACAACCCAUGGUGAGGAUACUUAUCCAUACUACAGAAGAAGAGACGACGGCAAGAGUAUCAAAGUUCGCAGAUUUACUCUUGAUAAUAGGUGGGUUGUGCCUUAUAACCCUUACCUACUUGCUUUAUUUGAUUGCCACAUCAACGUGGAAAUCUGUUCAACUCUUAAGCUCGUGAAGUACUUGUAUAAGUAUGUUUUCAAAGGACAUGAUCUGGUGAGCUUUAAGAUUAUUUCUUAUGAAUCAGUCAAUGAUAUUGAUGAAAUAAGAGACUUUCAGAAAGGUAGAUGGGUUUCACCUCCGGAAGCUUUUUGGCGUAUUUAUGAAUUCAAGCUCAAUGAAAUGACUCCAGCAGUUUACACUCUUCAAGUUCAUCUUCCAGACCAGCAGCUUGUUUCCUUCGACAAGAAUUCUGACCUGUUGCAAUUACUGAACAAAGUUGAUUUUUCUAAAUCAAUGUUAACUCAGUUUUUCCACAUGAAUAGAACAAAUCACAGAGCACAAACCCUGAAAUGCUUCUAUAGAGAUUUCCCUGAACAUUUUGUUUGGUCUCCUAAAUAUAAGGAGUGGACUGAACGAAAGCGUCGAAAAGUCAUUGGCCGGAUGGUGACUGUUAGUCCAAAAGAAGGAGAGAGAUAUUAUUUGAGGUUGCUUUUAACUCACAUUGCUGGGCCGACGUCUUUUGAAGCCCUUUUGUCUGUUAACGGGCAAAGAUUAGCUUCGUUUAGAGAGUCUGCUUUAGCUCUCGGCCUUCUGCAGUCUGAUGCAUACAUAGAGGACACGCUUCGGGAAGCAGUGGCAUUCCAAAUGCCGUCCUCAUUGCAUUUAUUGUUUGCCACUCUCCUUGUGUACUGUUCUCCGACGAAUCCUAGAUUGCUUUGGGACAGCUUUGAACUUGACCUUUCUGCCGACUACCAUCACCAGCAACCAUUCCAUCGCCUUUCUUCUCUUGAAAUUAAAAGAAAGGUUUUGCAGGAUAUAAACAGUUCACUCGAACAAAUGGGCAAGAGCCUUGCUGAAUUUCACUUUGUCUCCAAUGAAUUUACAUCCAGUUAUGUUGAAAGGCUAACAAAGGAGAUUGAGAGUGAAAAAAGCUUACCCGUAGAUCCUGAGGAUCUGUUGUUGUCUCACAAGUUGAACCCUGAGCAAAAACAUGCCUAUGAUCUAAUUCUGAGAGCAUGCUUUUCCUUACAAGGACAAGCUUUUUUCAUUGAUGGCCCCGGCGGGACCGGAAAAACUUUUCUGUAUAGGUCACUCCUCGCCACCUUGCGCUCACAGAACCAUGUUGCAAUUGCAGUGGCAACAUCUGGAAUUGCAGCAUCGAUCCUUCCCGGUGGAAGGACAGCUCACUCGAGAUUCAAGAUACCGCUUGAUUUCUCGAAAACUAAAACUUGUCAGCUUAGUAAACAAAGCUCAGCUUCAAAACUCCUUUUUGAAUCUACCCUUAUUUUGUGGGAUGAAGCUUCCAUGGCUAAGCGGGAAACAAUUGAAGCAUUUGACGAAUUGCUAAAAGAUUUAAUGGAUUCAGAUUUGCCUUUUGGAGGAAAGGUUGUUGUUUUCAGCGGCGAUUUCCGACAAACUCUGCCAAUCAUUGAGCAAGCGACUAAGGAAGUUCUCAUAGAAUCGACCUUCCCCGUUUCUCCCUUGUGGUCUAAACUACACAAAAUCAGGCUCACAAAAAACAUGCGAGCUAUGCUUGAUCCAGGCUUUUCUCAAUUCCUUUUAAGAGUAGGAGAGGGGACAGAACCUGUGGACGAUCGAGGCGAGAUAACUUUAUCCCCAGAUAUAGUUAUUCCUUAUGUAGAUAAAGAGGUGUCUUUGAAUAGGUUAGCUUGCCACAUCUAAUCAAAAUCAGCCGUUUUUAUAGUUAUUCCUUCUACUGCCAUUAUUAAUGAAUAUUUUUAUGUACAGGUUAAUAGAAAGUGUUUUUCCAGAUCUGGACUUCUAUACCCAUGAUCCUUACAACCUGAUAAAUAGAUGCAUCCUUGCUCCUAAAAAUAGCUCUGUCGACGAGCUCAAUGAAAUGAUGAUUAGGAAGUUUCCUGGAAACCGUCAAACUUACAUUAGCUCAGACAAGACUGUAGAUCAACGCCACCAAAGCGAUUAUGAGGACUUCCUCAAUUCGCAGAAUCCUAAAGGUCUCCCUCCUCAUAAGUUGUUGUUGAAGAAAAACUGUCCAAUAAUGCUUCUAAGAAAUUUAAACCCAGCUGAAGGUCUCUGCAAUGGAACAAGGUUGAUAUGCAGAGAUCUCGCACAACACACAAUUUCUGCCGAGAUUGUUUUUGGCCAUCACAGAGGAAAAACAGUUUUUAUUCCAAGGAUACCUCUUCAGUCGCCUGACAACGAUAAGAAUGGGAUUCCAUUCAUGCGAACGCAGUUUCCUGUCCGCCUUUGCUUCGCCCUGACCAUCAAUAAAUCACAGGGUCAAACACUUGACUACGUCGGCAUCUAUCUACGAGAACCAGUUUUUUCUCAUGGACAGUUGUAUGUUGCUUUGUCCAGAGCUAAGACUGCCGCUAAAGUCAGAAUUCUUCUUGUUCCUGGAACAUUUGAAGGCACAAAAAUAGAUUGCAAAACUCGGAAUGUUGUCUGUCAUGAAAUUUUUAGAUUAACCCAGGAAUAGAUCAUUUUCUACUGCGAUCAUGCUGCGGCAAGGUGUUAUUCAGCUUUUUAAUUCUUAGAUAUUGUGUUCUUGGAUAUUUUAUUCGUUUCACUUACGCAGCAACUUAUGUGUUUAUAGGAUGGCUAACUUGCUGCCGAUGCGGGAUAUUGUGCCUCAUAUGAAAAAUUGGAGCUGCGACAUCACUGUUCAAGAAAGGCAACAGAUAACCAGCUCAAUGGGAACACCGACAAAGAAGCAAAAGUUUGUUUUCUACGAUUCAGAAGUUAGUCAAAACUAAUGCUCUGUUUUAGAAGUAAUUAGUUAAGUAGGUUGUUCUCUUGCUUUCUUAAUCUUGUGUUUCUUUUGCUGCUUUAAAUAGGGGACGAGGGUCGAAGGAAUCAUCUUCAAUGAUGACAUUCCUAGAAUGAGUCAGAUCUUGCAGAUUAUAAAAAGUAUAGAAUCUCCAAUGCUGAAGUCAGACCUAUACCAGCAAAGUUCCAGACGUUUGGCCUUACAGUUCAAUGGGUAAUCAGUAGCAGGACUGUCAUUGACAAAAUUCCUGAUGAUGAUGAAGUCAUGCCUGUGAGUUUCUGCUAUUCAAAGUUUACUGAUUUAGUUCAGUACAUGGAUGACAAAACUAAAUCAGUAGGUGAGUGCUUCAAUGCUUUACUCUUAAUAAGUUUACAUUCUCAAGACCGUUUUUUAUAAUCAGCUUCUCUGUGUUAUUCAUAGACGUGCUGGGAGUUGUCAUUAGUGCACUUGAGAGGAAAACAAUUACUAAAAACUCAAGGCAAUCAGAUGUUCAGAAAUUUGUUCUGCUUAAUGAAGAGUAAGUCCUUUAAACUCCAGCUUAACCAAAGCUUCACAUUGCGCCUCCUGCUCUUUCUCUGCAACCAUUUUCCCAAUCUGUGACUGUUAACUUUGAUCCCAACUACAGAUCACACACUGUCCUACUGUCUCUAUGGGAUACCUUUCUAGCUAAUGAGGGAGAAGACAUACUAUCUAAGCUUCACAGCUAUCCUGUGAUCAUUGCUCGCAGAGUCAAAGUGAAUAACUAUAAUGGUUUGCUCCCAACAUUUAUUUUUUACCUUUUCACUUACGUUUAUCCUCCUAUAGUCAUCUGCAACCCCUGUAAAUCUUUCUCCAUUUCUUUUUGCCAUAUAGGGGUCGCACUAGGUACUUGGUUUGAUUCAGCGAUUCUUGUUGAUCCACCUAUACAAGAAGCCAGGGAACUCAAGAACUGGUACAAUAUAUUUACAGUCAUCAUUCUGUACAGAGUUUAAAUGGAAAAACUGUCCUGCCUUCCAGUUCUAACAUUUUUUAUGUCUCCUUUGGCCCAGGGCCUUGAGAAACACUGACUUGAUUAAAGAGCUUGUUGAAAACAAGGCCUAUAUUAAAUAUAAUCCACAGCUGUCAUUAAAAUCAGACCAGAAAACUACUUGGAUUUGUAACAUAACUUCAUCACAAAAGGUCUGUCACCAGCAACUGUUUACCUCCUUUUGUACUUUUCCUCAUGUAUGAACACUUUUUUCGACUCAUGCUUGCUGGUCUUUCAGACUAUAUGGGUGAAGGCGCAGAUCUCUUUUGAACACAUCUUCCAAAAAUAUUGGUACAUGAGCUGUAAAAACUGUUGCCGAGCUACAUCAGCAGGCCAUGAAGUUGUGUUUACAUGUAACUCGUGCAAAGAGAAACAUCCUGCAGUUCCUAGGUACUAAAUAAUAUACGUUUCAUGUAUUGCUUUCUAUUCGCUAUUAUCUAAUACUGAUCGAGUCAAUAAAUGCCUCCCUGCAUACUGUGUGCCCCUUUUCAGAUGCCGCUUUGAUGUUGAUUUGACUGAUAGCACUGGUGUGAUACCGGCUUCAUUGUUUGGCGAACUAGCAGAGAAGCUAUUAACAUUUAAUGCGCUAGAAGCAAUGCAGCAUUUUAAUGAGGUUCUUACCUCGUAAAUCUUAAUACUAAAGAUAUUAUCCAAUUUUUACUCUUAUUUUUUGUUUUCUUAACAGAAUGUUGAGCUGCCACUCGAGUUUGUCCACAAUGAGCUCAAAUCAAAAAACUUUCUCCUACACAUCAAACCUGUACAAGCACAGCUGGCCGAUGCAAGGCAGCGUUACACGAUUAUAUACUACUCUGAAAUUCAUGACGCUACUGAUUCUGUCCAGUUAGCAAUGCAAACAAAAGAUGACUCUCCUUUUCCUAGCAAAGAUUCUGACACCAUACAGUUAGGGACUCCAGGUAAAGAACCAGAUACCUGAUUUCUUUUCUACACUUAUCUGCUAAAUUUAUGCAUAUCAUGACAUGUCACAAAUUUAUGAUCACAGGAGAGAAUAGUGCUCGUUCAAAGAUUUGUGUUCGACUUUCUGAUAGGUUUGAUGAACCACAAAACAUUGACCUGGAGCAAGAUGGAAAUCCAGAAUGCAGCUCUAACAAGAAGCAAAAACUGAACUAGGUUGCUGCUGCGGCCUCUUGCAUCCACCUGAUCUUUACGUGUUGGAACUAACCUGGUGUCAUCUAUUUUUUCCAAAGUUUCUUUUCCAAUCUUACAAGGCUUAUUUAAGUGCCAACGAAGGAUGUGUUUUUGUCCAUGGAUACCCCUUUAACUUCUUUUGUUCUACGGCCUUUUGUCUUUGCUACUAAGCUGCAAUCAGCAAUAACUAUGUAUCUAGAUUGGUGCGUUACAACUGUUAUGUACUUGUUGCAGUAGCCUUUAAAUUCAACCUCUGUUGUGUUCAGUUUAUUAAUUGCCCUCCUGGUGGAUGUGAUAUUUCUUGUGCAUCAAUUUUUCAGAAUGCAUUCCUCAGAACAUAUUCAAGUCUUCCCCUUGGCAUAACUCUCUUAUUAAAUAUCACACCUGCUUUAUCACCUGAACUUACUCUUCUCACCAGCUCAGCCUCCGGGAUCUAUUAUCCGUAAAAUCUGUAGUUGCUCAGGCUUCAAUAAAUUUAAGGAAAAACAACUUUUCCCUUUGUCCAACCUUGAAUAACUUUAAGAAAGACAGACAUGACAGAUCAUUAAGCCAUUUGCUUGCGAAAAAAUGGGAGCCAGACUAAAUAUAAAAACCUUUAUUACCAAAAAUAAAAAACUAUUAGCCAUCCAUUCUUUAUAUAUACCUGCUACUUAAAUAGAGUAUACAUUCCAAGCAAAUCACUGCAACAAGUUAACUUUUCCGCUUCUUUCCCCAGGUUAUCCCUACCAUUUGCCACUUUUCUUUACCUGCGUAUAGUUACAUCUUUCCUGGUUUUUUUAAAAAUUAACUUCUCUGAUUAGAUCGAUGGCAGAAGAAUUAUCCACCCAUGGAUUGACAAACAGCAGCUCGAUAGCCUGUUGUUUUCUGCUUAAAUGCAACCACAGAGGAGAGGUAUAAUCAUUCGUUCGUGUGCUGGAAAAUGCAUGUUGACGAUAUACAGCCAAUUUACAUAUAUUCAUUUAACAUUUCCUAUUCGUAUCUCUAAAUACACAGAUUUUGCCCGCUGAAUUCAAGCUAUUACUAAAUCAGCACCGCCACAGUACAAUCAUUCUCAGGCAUGGAAUUCAUAAAUGGCCUGUUGUCGUCGGCGAUCGUUCAUUUGAAGAAGGUUGGGAUGAAUAUUGCCAUGAAAAUGUCACAACCAGACAUGAUAUGUUGCUUCUACGGCAUAUCGGCAAUCUCGUCUUCGAUGUCAUUCAUUUUUCCGAGCUGCAACAACAAGUUUACCUAUCUUGGACAGUUCCAUUGCCAAGUUUAUUACAAUCUGGUGCUGACCCUCCCCAAGGUCAGUUUAUGCCUCGCUUUAUAUCAUGUUGUUACUUGUACCAAAUUUCUCCCUAAUUUAUUAUCUACUGGAUACCUUCUCAUCCUGCAGAUUCUGUGAUGCUUCAGCAGUCGGUUGCUUCAUCAAUGAAACCCAAUUUAGCCCAAAACCUCACUGACUCGGUUUCCUUCUAUCAAACCUUUCAUGCAGCAACUCCAAACACAUUGGUAACUUAUCCUUGAUCUAUUUCUUUCUCCUCCUCUUACUACAUUGCUAUAAACAAGCUCUAUACAUUAUGUACUCGGAACUAACUUUCAUCCAUUUCUAUUAGAAAAUCCCAAGAUUCGUCGAUCGCUUUGUUAAUGAACAAAGAACACCGACGCUUCUCAUUAGGACUGGAGAAAAUCUCACAGAGAUUGGUGUGAAAGGGAAAAAGUUAAAAAAAAAUUGGAGAAACUUCGUCCUCCAGCAUCGAUUGCAGCACAAUGAGAUCCUUGUGUUUGUUCCAGAAUCAGCAACUACCUUCACAGUUUUAAUAUUUGAUGAUCGUGGAGUCGAGAGGGUCUUUCCAUGGUCUUGCAUCUUCAGAAUUUUUUCUAAUUGUCCUAUUUCUACCUAGAUUAGGUAGUAUGGUUUUCUCUGUAAACAAAAUUCGCUUUUCUCUUGAAGCUUUUUAUCAAACAUGGUCGAAAUUUUUUCCCCUUCGAGCGCACUAUACAUUCUUACUAAAUAUAACUGAUUUGCAAUGAAUUUAUGCAUGCGGCAACAACAUUUCAAAUACGUAACAUCGCUCUUUACCGCUAAUUUUCUUCGCAUACGCAGUAAUUAAUUUUAUUGACUCUGGCAUGAAACACAACUACACGGACAGAUUUCCACCUUUCAAUACAUCAACUGCUUAAUUCAUUCUCCCGACAAUAACUUCAUUUAGGAGACAAUUCCAUUCGCUGCAAAGAAACAAUACAUUUCAAUUGUGAGACAUUUCCAUAGAAUAAACAAUAUGCAAACUAUUGAACAGCAUCAGAGUCAAUUCUUAUUGUAAAUUUAAAAAACAACGGAAAUUAUCAACCUUCCACAAGAAAAUAGAAAAAAAAACCCUUUGUUCAUUGUUUAAUAAUUUUAGAUCUCACAUUUACUUCUCUCAACACUUCACCACGUCUCUACAUCAAACAAAACAAUCCUGAUAAACUUCAAUUUUACUCGCCUCCAUUUUUCCUAUUCAAUCUUUUCAACAGCAUGUUGAAUGCAAACUUUCAUUUACUCACGUUUUUUCUUGCACCAUUGCUUACUUCAAGGGUUAAUCAUUUUUUAACCAACUAACUCAGACACAAUACAUAUACUUUAUGAUAUUUUCGCUGGUAAAACUGGGCAUUUUCUGGGCAACAUGGAAUUAACACCGCGCAUCGCGCGGUGAUCCCCUCCUAGUAUACUUUAAGCUAUGGUCAAGAAAGGCCAGCCGUUUUGAACUUGUGUCUGAAGACAAGCAGUGCACCUUCAAAAAAAAAAAAAAACCAGUGCUUUAAUAAACAAAUCGUUUUGCAUUAAUUAAAUGUGUAUUGGAACUGGUAUAAAAUAUGAUUUACGGAAAACAUCUCUUUAGUAUGGCCUCGCAUGAGAUCCCAUCAGACCACUUUCAAUUGUGAGUUAGAAAAUGCAAAAACAAUGGCCAUUAUAAUAAGUUGUUUAAUUUGAAUAAUAUGCCUGAAAUGAAUAAUCCUACUAUUGUAUGAUAGGAAACUUGGGCUGUAAGUACCAACUGGUGAUAUUGGAAUCAAUGUGUAGGGCUAAACUCAACAUACCUCAAGAUAAAAAAAAAAAAGGUUUGAAUUUUCUUAAGAUGGGCUGGACCAAGUUGAAAAUGGUUCUUCAAUGGGUAAUGUUACAAUAUUGGCUGCGAGAAGGUCUACAAAUGGUCUGGGACUUUUGGUGGUUGUCAUGCUGUAUUUGAAGCUGAUUCCCUCUUGGCAAUAUAUUUUGUUAACAACGCUUUAGCUAAUCAUACUUAAUAUAAUCUUAUAUGUAAAAGACAUGAGAAAAUCGCAGAUGGGAUUGUACUCUUUCUUAAUUCUAGAGAGAAGGCAAAACGUAAAUGGAUGUUUUGACGAAAUUUAUUUAGAAUUCACAAUGAUGCAUGACCUUGGUAAAGGUGACAUUACAUGAAAACUUGUUGAGCAUAACAUGCAGCAGACAUCUAAUAAGUAUGUGAUUUGGCUUCGGCCUUCACUUCAUUGAAAAAAAGAAGGUUCAGCCCUAUGAAUAAGACUUUCGGGCAACGUUUUGCUUUAAGUAUGCGCAUACCUUUGGCAUAAUAUUGAUGGAACGUUUAAAAGAAUGAAGCCUAGUAGUCUAGUGUUCAAAGAAGAUUUCAGCCAAAAGUGUUGGGUAGAAGACUUUCUGCGUAAAGGAGCAAUUCAGGUUGUAGAUGCCAACUUGCUCAAGCCCGAGGUUGAGCAUCUAAAUGAGAAUUUAGAAAGACAAAAGAAAUUUUUAACUACAAUGUGAAGGAUGAAACAAGUUAUUUUCUCAUGUUUAUAUUGACGUCAAAACAACUUCAGUAUGUUACCAGUGCAUUCAGUUUCAUAUUAACUGCAAUUCCAUAUGGCAUUCCAUUCGGAAUAAUGGUAUGCGCUGAGUUUCUAUGUGAGGAAACAACUUCCUAUCAAACUUCUGAAACUUGAGGGAUGAAGUUCUGGGCUCUAGGCGAUAUCAAAUCCUACUGAAUAUUCCUGAUUUUGGAGGAAAAGAAAAAGUGGAAAUAAGAAACAUUUAACACCAGAUUAUAUUGUGUCAGUGAUUGGCAAUGGAGAUUCCACUUUUACAUGGUUCGAAAAUUAAUGGCACCCUCUGUUGCGGAAAUAUGGCCGUACUAUAGUGAGGCAGUUUGGUAGUAUUAAACUGCCAAUGGGAAGAAGAAAGGGAUGAGACUGUGUCUUUCUUCAUUAUGCCAGCAGUGUUAUGACCUGCCUUUAUCAUGAGUUAUGUGUAGAAAUAUCGAUUGGAUACUAAAGACAGGUUGAUAAGGUGGGGCGUCAUUGCUGAUCAGUGGUGUCCAUUGUGUAACCGUUUGCUGAUUUCUUCACUGCUCUUAUUCAACUAUUUGUCAGUUAACCAUCUUCCUUGGUUAGUUAACUAUUCCUGUGUUCCAUAUCGAGACAUUGUCCCAGAAAUCAAGCUAAUUUGCUUUAUCUGCCACAAUACUGCUACAUUGUGGCUGAGAUAAAGUCCCCAAUUCACUUUCGGAGAAGACUUGGGACUCCAAUUAUUGAAUACUUGAAGUGUAAUCGUUGUGCUGACUUGGACUUAGACUUUUCAAUAAGCUGGCACAUAUAUUAUCGAUAUGAAUGUAAUAAAGAAAAGAUGGAUAUCUUCUUUUUUUUUUUUUUUUGGAAUAAAAAUUAGUACAAAUACCUUUGCUCUACAAGUGCAAUCUCCAUCACUCAUGUUUUCUUAAGGAAGAACAUAGGCAGGGGAUUCCUUCCGACCAUGCCCUGCCCGUCCCCUUCUUUCCCAGCCCCAUUUGGCCCCCGAUGGGUGAAUGCUAUCGCUAUUAUCUCAGUCUUUGCAUCCUUCGUAUUCUUGUCUCCUUUCGAUGAAUAAUCUAAUUAAGAACCAACUUUAUUUUAAGUAAUGUACAUCCAAUCUCAUUUUGCAUGUUAAAGACUUAAUUUGCAUCCUUGAGCUAGCAAAACGUCCCAAAUUACCUCAUUUCUAAGCACUCUUGAUAGAAAUAGGUGAAAUUAAUGUGUAUGUACAAUAUUUUUCUUCAUUGACAAAGGAGAGUAGCUUUAUUUUUUUUCCUAGCAAGGUUGACUCACCCCCUUUUUUUUAAUGAUAAAGGAGAGCAGUUGGGAUGUGCAUAAUCCUAAGUUUCCAUACCUCUCUUAAUAGUGUGAAAGAUUGGGAUGCGUCAGUAACUUUAGAUUGUGAAUUAGUUAGCAUUCAAUUUUAUGUUAUUUGAUUUUAUUAUUAUUAUUAUUAUCUUUUUGUUCAAGAAAGAUUCUAAAUCUUACAAGGAUUAAAAAAAAAAAGAAUUUGAGAGUCAAACUAAAGAUCUCGCGACAUUUUUAUUAAUGUUGUUACCAAAUUGAGUUAGGUCAUGAAGACGUACGUGCGCAAAUAUAAUUUGCAAAGCAAGAGUAUAAUAAUACUAUUGUUUGUGAAGUUGCACCAAAAAAAAUAGAAAGGUAAAAAUUAAAUUGAUCAAAACAUUAAGGAUACAGAGUGGAAUUAGGGCAAAUUAGAAAUUGCAAGGGAGAGGGUCGCAGGGGUUGUAGUUUUGAACUUUGAUCCCCUAUAAAUUUUGAGAAAUACUUUUGAAGUCCUCCUCCUCGCUGCCAUAUAAUUUUGGGAGAAGGCCCAAUUGACUUCCGCCUCGCUCCCUCCCCAAGCUUUUGCUUUAAGAAAAGCUCUUAAAAUUUACUCGUCAAAUGUUCUUAGAUUUUGCAUUUGGCUAUAGUUGGUCCACUUUUUAUAACUUUUGUUCCUCAUUUUGGACAAUGCUCUUUAAUUGAUUUAGUUUGUGAAUUCUCUUGGAUAAAGUAUUGCAUUUUAAUAUAGCAACUAGAUCUAUUAAUAGUUGGUCUUCCUUUUGUACAAAUUAUCUCAAAUAAUUGAAAUUGCAAUUGGUCGGAAUUCGUUGUCGUGAAAACCUAUAAGAUAUAUAUGAAGAUCAUUUAAUCCAUCCUUUCUAUUUAAGAUUUGAGAUUGACUUACUUUCCAAAAUUAGAGAGUAUAGAGCAACUCAUUUAUAGCUAUAUAAAGUGUUUGUAUCUCUUGCUUUAUUUGCAGUCAUCUUGUGAUGACAAGAAUUUUCUUCUUCCUUGUCUUCUUUUGUUAAUUUUGUGUAAACUCCAAGACAUCUUCACUUCAACGUAACCACCGAGUUUUGGAUCAAUAGCCGCAAAAUAGGAAUUAAAUCCCUUUUUGGCCUAUUGUGAAAAAAAUUCAAAGGAAGUGUCAGAAUAUUUCUUUAGUCUAGUUGGAUCUGUAUACUUGCUAGUCCCUUGUAUAGUUUCUUUAGACUCCUCUUCUUGUAGAAUAAGAUUAGUUUCUAAGAAUGUUAUCAUUGCAGCAAAAAAAAAAAAAAAAAAAUUCUCUUCAACAUACUUCUACAUGUCAUCAAAUGAAGUUAAAAGAUAGGAAGCAAAGAGUUUUUACUCACUUUCAAUUUGCUUCUUACAGGACUAUAUUUGAAUGAGUGGGAACAAAAAAAAGAGAGAUAAGUUUGUAUUACUAAAUGUGAAUGGUAACCCUGGCAAGGUACCCUUUUGUAUUUAUAGUCACCAAACAACCUUGACUGUGGCACCAUCUGCAAUGAAGACUGAAACUGAGGAAAACGAUUGAAUGAUGAAUUUAAGCAAUACAAUUUCAUAGAUUUACGUCUAAGAUCAGCAAAAUUUGUUUGUACGUCUUUCGCCUUGAUUGGGAAGAUAAGUAUAAAAUACAAAAUAGUGUUCUGUGUUGAAUGGGAAGAUAAUGUUCCGAUUAUGUAGAAAAAUGGUAUUGUAUUGUCGUUGUACAUCCCAAAGUCUUGGUUAACUUGGUUUGUCCUAGCCCAUUAGUCCAGAAUACACGUUGAAGACUUGUAACAAUGUCAUGGAGAAAAAACAGAUGAACAGAAAAUGAGUUGAGAGAUUGAGUGCAACCGAAAGUGAGUUGAGAGCGAGUGCUCAAUAUAGCCACAAAACUUGGAGUAAUGAACGGUUGUUCAUUUCGAAAAUUCCUGUAUGGGAGAACACAAGAUACAUAUAAUGUAACUCAAUGUUGAGACUCCUAGAUGUUUUCUUAAAGAUCAAAAUGUGAAAGAAAAGGUAAUCCAACUAUUUGUUUUAAGUGUAAUAUGCAUCUUUUUAGAGAAAUUUCUAAUAUUAUGAUGAUUUUUAAAAAAAUUCUACAAAGGGGCAUUUUGUGUAUGGGAUUCUGUAAAAGGGUUGUUCGCAUUUGUCAAAUGCGAGUUCCUUGAGCUCGCAUUUAUCAAAUGCGAACUCUUCUGAAUUUUCCAACGACCGACAUACAAAAAAAAGAAAA
rnacentral:lncRNA from 1 species